rnacentral:lncRNA from 1 species
AGAGGAAGAGGUUUAAGCGUGGCUCAGACAUCUCAUAUCGUAGUUGUGUUCGAUGAACUGAAGCGGCAUCGCUCUAACACACAUUUCAACAAACACCUCUGGUGCAUAAAAAAAAUGGAGAGCUAGCACACACCCACACUCUUCCAUCCAAGAAAAAUGCAAGGAAGAGGGGAGAGGGGGCUGUGCUAUAUAUAGGCAGAGGACUUUAGUCCCGGUUUGAGACACAAACCGGGACUAAAGGUGGUGCACAUGCGGGCUGCACACCGCGUAGCCCUUUAGUCCCGGUUUUGGACACAAACCGGGACUAAAGACUCCUUACGGGCCGGGACUAAAGCCUCGUAGGAGGCAUUGCGAUUUGGGGCGACGUGGCCGGGACUAAAGGCAGGCCGAGACUAAAGGGUCCAGGCCAAAUGCCCGUUUUCCACUAGUGACCUGUCCGGAGGCAAGAAGGUCGGCAAGAAGGUGAUCAUGACGGUGCGGUACCCGGCUGCCGACUCGGGGGAGAAGGUCACCAUCUCAACCCACCUCGACGGCGAGAGCCACUUCCAUCUCGACCGCGACGACUACGAGCCGUAGGCCACUCUUUCUCUCUCUCUCUCUCUCUCCAACUCAUCGUCAUAAAGCACACACUCGACCGAGCUGUGUGGUUCUGCUUGAUUUAGUGAAUUCAUGGCUAAGCUUGCGAUCGAUCUUCACUUCUUCAGCAUCAUUUUCGCCACGAAAAACCUUGUCUCGGCCCUGGAGAAGGUAGGGGAUCCGCAUGCCAAUCUAUCCGAGGUAACGCACUUUUCGCCCCUCCCUAUUAUGCAUGCAUUCGUUCGGAUUUCAGUUUUUUUGUUUCGAAACGGAAUUCAGAUUUCAGUUUAAAGGACGUAUUGUAAACUGCUGACCUUUGCCUAAUUGUUUCUCAGCUGUAGUAGCACGUGAGCGCUCACUGCUCAGUGGUGAUUGCAAGCCCAGCCAGUGGAAACAAAUCGGAGAUGGAGCUCCUCUUUUCUUUCGUGUCAGUGUCAGGGAGAAUACAUUAGCCGCCUUUUAUUUUGUUGUAGUAGUACCGAAUGCAAGAAGCGUACCCGGAGGCCUAUUAUUUAGGCUGUAGUGAUGUGGUAUUGUACAUGUAGGGGUGCUAGAGUCUGUCUUCAAUUUCUCUGUGCGUCUCUGUGUGUCUUGGAUUCUGUCCGAGGAAGAAAAAUUUCCAUUGUUUUUCAAUUUAUUUCCGCUCAAUAUCAAUCGAACGGAGAAUCUUUAUUAUGCUUUAUAAACAGAUUAAAUACUCCGUCCGUCACGAUUUAGAAGACGUGUUUGAAAAUUCUUUAAAACCUAGGUGCUUUAAAACCUAGGUGCUCCUUCUAAUCCAAGAAAGCAAAAAGGCUCCCCUGCCCCCCCACUUGUCAAUCCAUGGAGACACUGGUGAUACGCAUCACCGCUAGCUCCAGCUUGGCCUUGCUAGCGUCCCCGUUAACGCUUGUCGUGGGGUCCCCCAUGUCGGACUUGGGACUUCGCUCCACUCCCAUCUAAAAUGCGACUCACACAGUUUAUAAUUUUAACCAACUGAGAAUCUUUCUGAUUUUUUUAUUAGCAAACCGAAAUUCAGUUGGUUAUAGACAAUAUGAAUAAACACCCCUUAAUUUAGAGUGAAACAUCUGUUUCAACUUUGUACCGACGAGUAAACACAAGCCACGUGCAUUCAACACACACUUUGACUGAGAAACCAGAAAUGAGAAUCCGGCCACCAAUACGUAUUUGUGUUGAGGCAGUUGAGGCAGACGCUCCAUGCAUGCAUGAGUUGAUCGAUCACACCAAAGAUGAAGCUAGUAGCACGGUGACUCGUGCAUGAUCACUCUGUGCAAGGCAUAUGCUGUUUUGGAUCAUCUAUGUCUGCUUGAACAUCAUUUACACAUGACACUUCAAAACAUUCCAAGAUCAUUUACACAUUAUUCUGUUCAAUGUGCACAUCACACAGGGAGUAGCAUUUUAUGUUAAAUAUAUCAAACAUCAUAAUUUUCCAAUUUUAGUUAAGCGGAUNGGCCUGCCUGCCCGUCGUCGCGAACUGCCUGCCCGACGGCGCGGCGGCCUGCUCGGCCGACGGCGCAGCGGCACGGCAGCCUACUCAGCGGUGUCGCGGUGGCCUGCCUGCCCAUCAUAACGGUCAAUCUAACAGGGUUUGACUUCCAUGUGGACCCAAACGGACGGCGACGAAUGAAAUGGAGCGCUCCGUUGGAGUUGCUCUUAUACGCUGGAAUGUAAUCCUUUUGCAUUUUCUUAUUUUCGAGGGUAAAAUUGUAGAAUCCACGGUAGGGUUAAGAACACCAUUGACUGUAAAAGCAUACUGGCUACAGUACAUACAUCAGCAGCAGUUGACACAGCUCUGCCCUUAGGGCAUCUACAAUGCAUAGCCUAAGGGUGAUGUUUCGUAUGCCAUGUAGGAUCGGAUGUGAGGAAAGGUAGGUUUGGAUAAGGAAGCGGGAUCCUAUGCAGAAGGCGGGUGCUUGAAGAGAAAAUGUGUCAUCCGGUGUAAAAAGCUAGAAAAGUUAGAGGGGAAAGUAGAGAUACAUGUGUAUUAGAGUCUUUAUUUUUUAUUCUUUGAUGAGACGCCCUCAUGGUAGCUUGCAUUGGAGAGAAAAAAUUAAUAUAGAUGUCUCAAGCUACUUUUAAUCAUGGGGCAUGGGUAUCCAUAUGUUACCAUUAUACAUGCCCUUAGGGCAUAUGCCCAAUGUGUAGCCUCAACCCGCUGCCCCGCAGGUCCAUCUAGGUUCGGACCUAUGCUGGGACUAAAAGGUAUGACCCUGCAGGUGAAGAUGUAGCUUGCAGACAAGCCGGCCUCUUGAGACGUGAAAAGAUAGAGAAAGGAGAAAAAUGAACGGAAGGAUAAUGCAUGUAAGGAGAGAGGAUGAGAGAGGAAGGAGAAUGACAUGGAUGCAUGCGGGAAGAGAUGUGUUGUAUGAUGGGUCCACACAAGGUGCAGCCACAGUUGGCUCGAAAAUUUUAGAAACGAUGGCCUCGUUAUUUUUUACUUAGAUUUUUUAUAAAUAAAUAGCUGAGGCAGCAUGGAGGAGAUGCCUCCAUAGUUCAUGACAUAUAUAUAGAGUCACGCUAUUUAUCAUCCUGGGUCAGGAAUAUUUCUCACCCCACCCCAUCUCCCACGGUUAAAGGUAAAAAAAAAACUAAAUGAGGUAAAAUUACGAUAUGAUAAAAAAGGAAAGGUAAGAUUACGGCUUAAAAAAAAUCCUCUCCCACAUACCGCAUUUCGCCAUUGACUCCUGGUAAUGGCUAAUGACAUUCUUGCUCGUAUCCUUCGUUACUUUUUAUACUUUGUACUAUGCCAUAUUUUUAUGAAUCAAAAUUAGUUUCCUCCACUUUGACAGAAAUUAGGUAGAAUAUGCAUAGAAUAAAAGGCACAAGAAUAUGAUUUUCUUUUCCUCAAAAGAAAAAAGAAGAAUAAUAUUUUCUUUCUCGAUAAGACUCGUCGGAAGAGAUUCAAACGAUCGCCUCUCAUGUUAAGCGACACACACAAUCCAUGAUAUACUGGACAGCACCCUGCACACUACUAGUACACUACCACACUGCUACGAUAUGAUACUACCUCGCCGAAUGGGCACUGGUUGCAGAUACUACAACACAAAAUAAAAGGCGCCUAAUAUAUAUAUUUUCCCUGAGACGAAAAGAGGAGCUCCUUCUCCAAGCUCCACUGGGCACUGGACAUACAACCACCCACCACGCUGAGCAUGCACCGUACGUACGUACGUGAAGGUCCAUCGACCACCUAGAGAUGAGAAACAACGAGGCAAAGGUCAAGGUCAGCAACUCGAUCACAUUGUGUUCUCAAAUCAGCUAGAACACGGAACAGAACGGGGGCAAACACAACGUUCAUUCGUUACCUCGGAUCGAGACUCCCUCGCGUCUCGUAUCCCCUCCAGGGUCGUGAUAAGGUACUUCAUGGCGAAACCGAGGCUGGAGUUCAAGCGAAAUCUUAGCUAGAAACUUUCUUAAACCAAACGUAAACCACGCGGAGAGAGAGAUACGACAGAGAUAGAGACGUACGGCUCGUCGUCGUCACAGUCGAGGUCGAAGCGGCGGUCGCCGCCCCCGUGCUCGUCAACGUAGUGCGCUGAGAUUGUUGUCUUCUCCCCCGGCGGUGAGCCCGCCGCAGGGUACUGGAUGGUCAUGGUGUCAAAACUAUGAAACAACGCUUGCAUCUUGCAGGGACGCUUUGCGUGUUAAUAUAGACCACCGGCCAGGUUGUUACAAAGAUCUACAAGGUUAGUUGUUGGAUUGCUAUGUAAGUCAUAUCUCCAACAACUAACUUAAACACAAUCAUAUACCGUUUAUAUUUGUACGGAUAUAUGUUACAUCUUUUAACACUCCCCCUCAAUCACAACUAUCUAAAUUGAGAUUGUUCCUGAAUGCUUCUAGCUGCCGAGUGGUGAGUCGCUUAGUGAAGCCAUAUGCAACUUGAUCACCAGUUGGUACAAAUCUGAUGUUCAACAACUUGUCUGCCACUCGUUCACGUACAAAAUGAUAAUCGAUUUCGAUGUGCUUCGUUCUAGCAUGGAAAACAGGAUUAACAGACAUAUAUGUAGCACCAAGAUUAUCACACCAUAGCGAGGCUGCCUUUGGAUGACGUACACCUAUUUCAGUCAACAAAUUCUGAACCCAAAUAAUUUCAGCAGUUGCAUUUGCUAAGGCUUUAUACUCAGCUUUAGUGCUUGACCUGGAAACUGUAGGUUGCUUGCGAGCACUCCAUGAAACUAGGUUGCCUCCAAGAAACACAGCAAAGCCUCCAAUGGAUCUCCUAUCAUCAGGGCACCCAGCCCAAUCUGCAUUUGAGAAUGCACUCACAAGCAUAGAAUCAGUUUUGCUGAUCUUAAGUCCAUGACUCUUUGUUCCCUGAAGAUACCUCAGUAUUCCUUUUACUGCAGUCCAAUGCACACUAGUAGGAGCAUGCAAAAACUGGCAUACUUUAUUAACUGAAUAUGAAAUAUCAGGCCUAGUUAGAGUCAAGUAUUGUAAUGCUCCUACAAUACUUCUAUAUUUUGUCGAAUCCUCUGCUCCUAAUACUUCCCCAUCAUAAAGAGACAAUUUUUCCGAGGUAGACAAGGGUGUGGAAGAGGGUUUGCAAUCCUUCAUCCCUAUACGCUGAAGUAUUUCCUGCACGUACUUUUCUUGUGACAAAAGAAUUCUAGUAUGUACUUGUUUUACCUCAAUGCCAAGAAAGAAGUGCAAAUCUCCAAGGUCCUUGAGUGCAAAUUCCUUGCCGAGAUCCUUCAAAAGAGCCUCAACCGCUUGGGGAGAGUGGAGAAUGUUGUUAAGGUUGAGUGAACCAUGCGGGGUAGACAAAACUAAAUGACCAACAUGGGCAAUGCUCAUACCUUGACCAUUGGCGGUGUGGAUCUGCUCGUUGCCGGUGUAGCGAUCAUGGACAGCCAGCUUCUCAAGUUCGCCAGUGACAUGAUCAGUUGCACCGGUGUCGAGAUACCAAUUGGUAUAUAUCCCAUAGGAGUGGGCGGCGUUAGCAGAUUUUUGUCCACUUCCCCCGGCGCCUCCACCUCCUGCCGGAUUGCGGACGUUGUUGUUGUAGUUGCGUCGAAGCGCUUCCUGCAGCGCCAUGCUCCAUGUCCACUCUCCUUGCAAAUUUGACAGUUCUCAAACUUGCGGUCACCGCGAUCACCACGGUCCCCUCCUUGGCGUGGUGUGUUGUUGCUGUUGUCGGAGAAGCGUGCUCCCGUGUUGUUGUUGUUGUAGCCACCACAGGGAGCCAUUGUUGCCGCUGUUGUUUCCACGGCCACGACCACCUCCCCGAGCAGCUAAGUUGGCGGUGUAGGCGCUGGUUUGGGAGGCGAUCCGGGCUUCGGCUGCAAGGAGCAGGGAGAAAAGCUCAUCGAGACCGAUGGGCUGAUCGGUGACGGUGCGGGUGGUGAUGGCAGAGACAAACCCAUUGUACUCAGGCUCGUGCAUCAGCCCCUGGAGGAUAUGGGAGAUGACAUCAUCGUCGUCCAGGGGCUUCCCGGCUGCUGCCAGUUCAUCGGCAAGGCCCUUCAUCUUGGUGAAGUAGGCCGCGGCGGAGGAGUCACCCUUGCGGGUACUCCCGAUCAAAGAUCUUAGCUGGAUGAUGCGCGCCCGUGACUGCGAGGAGAAGCUCUGGAGGAUCUCCUUCCAUGCUGUCGCAGCCGUCUCACAGCUGCUAACCUGGAGAAGGAUGUCACGGGAGAGGGACGCGAGCAGAAACGUGAGCACCUGCUGGUCCUGCGUUACCCAAACCUCAUGUUCGGGGUUCGGCGUGGCGACGAGCUGCUUUUUCCCGGUGACAUCUUUCUCCAAGAUGAGCUCGGCGGGAGGGGCCUUGAGGGAACCAUCAAGGUAACCCAUCAUGCCGGCUGCCCGGACAUGAGGGAGCACCUGCGCCAUCCAGACAAGGAAGUUUUCCAUGUUGAGUUUCUCAGCGAUGGUGUGGCCGAGAGAAGCGAUGGAGGGGGGAGCCAUGACGACGGCGACGGAGGAGGAAGAUAUUAGAUGUGAUGGAAGAGUUUUAGGCUCUGAUACCAUGUCAAAACUAUGAGACAACGCUUGCAUCUUACAGGAACGCUUUGCGUGUUAAUAUAGGCCAUCGGUCAGGUUGUUACAAAGAUCUACAAGGUUAGUUGUUGGAUUGCUAUACAAGUCAUAUCUCCAACAACUAACUUAAACACAAUCAUAUACCGUUUAUAUUUGUACGGAUAUAUGUUACAUCUUUUAACACAUGAUCACUAUCUUCCCGACUUUGUUCCCUCCGGAGAGAUCAGCAGCCACAAGGCCGGUGAGGAGCAGGAAGGAGAAGAGGGAGAGGAGGGUCAGGUGGUAGGGGUGAGCCAUCUCUCUUCUCUCUUGGCAGCAGGGAAGAACCUACUACUGCUUGCUGCUUGGCCAGCCAAGUAAGCGAGAGAAGCAUGUAUAUAUAUGGACAGGUAUCGUACGAGCAGCUGAGCAGGGUCAGAUGAAAGGCGAAGAUACUCCUCGGUGCAGAGCUGAGCUCUUGUUACUACACGUGACUUUGCAUGUAUGGCCAGCGCCACGCAUUGUGCGCUACUCAACCGUCAAACAAAUCGAACACCAACGGUGUGAGUGUGUGACCAGAAAAAAAGCAACCGUGUUGGAGUUGCUCUUAGAUUUGAAUUCUGCUUCGGUAUAGGUGUGAGAUGUUUGAAGUUUUAGAUUUGUUCAGAGUCAGUGAAAUUCAAACACAAAAUCUUACACUAAAGACACAAACAUAGGCACCUUAUCCAUUUCACUUUCCUCCUCAAUGUAUCUCGAUUGGAUGUUUCCAAAAAUUCUGUCAACCAAUCGACGUACGCAUCGCUCAAACGGUUUUUGACGUGUACAUCCAAACUCGACACAUUUUUUUAGCAAGACAGAAGCAACAUUUAUAACCUACUAUUACAAGAUAUUAUGUGUGCAUCAUAAUUAAAUAAUUUAGACAAUAUCACCUUUGUUUUUACUUACUCUGCAUAAUACCUUUGUCAUAAGAAAACAUUUAUGAACUUCCACAAAAUUUAUAGAAGAAAUUAUUAACACCUGCAAUAGUAGCCAUUCCAUUAUGAGGCGACCGGGGACAACGAUGCGAGAUGGAUAGUUUGGGGCAUGUUGGUGCAAGGCAUAUUUCUUUCUCCAGUCAAGCUCAUUGUAGAAGUUAGAGCCGCCUAGUCCCCAAUGUUUUAGGCUGAUUAUUUGGCAUAUGUUGGCAGUAUUCUCGUGUAUUGUUCCUUCUGAGGGCUUUUAGUCAAUCGUCUAUGGUUGAAUUGGAGUCGCUUGCUCGGAAAGAAACGAUAACAAUGACACUUUGCAAGCAAUCUCAACGGUGUUUUACUUUUCGGUGAUGAGUGAUUUUGUGGAUAGCUAGGUUGGCCAUGAUGCUACGUCUUGCAUAUGUGUUGUAGCGAUUCUACCCGGUUUGCCCUAAAUUACCUGACAUCUUUCUUCUAUUUGUUUUUAACGAAAUCGGGUCCUAAUUAAGGUCACUAGUCGUCAACCCGUGCAAUUGCACGGGCUAGUAUAGAUGCAUUAUGAAAUUAGCCUAUUUGGGGUGACUACCUUUAAAAUGUGGGAUGGCAUUACAUAAUUAAAUUAAUAAUAAGUAACUUCUUCUGAUUGAUAUGAAAUUUCAAUAACUAUUGUAAUGUUUUGCUUAAAAUGCAUUCCACACUGUUUUCUUUCAAAUAUAUUUUGAAUAAUUUUAUUUUUACCAUUGUAACUUGUUCACAGUACAAAGGAAUUAUGUUAGGAAUUAUGUUUUGUUCGCAUGCAUAGAAUAACUUUAUUUAUACUAUCGCAAGGAAUUUAGUCCAUGUCAGCUGUGAUCGAUUGUAUCUUGGUGAUCCAGCUGCAUGUAAACUUUGGAUAGAGCCAUCUAUAAUGUUGCCUUGUAUUAAGGUAAUGAUGAGGGUUAUGCAUUUCAUAAAAUCAGUAAUAGUCAAACAGGGGGAAAAAGUUCCUAAAGUAACUUAGUAACCUCUUUAGGAAGUGUUUAGCAUCCCAAAUGAAAGCAGCUACAAAAGCAUAUGACAUGAUGUUCCUUCCUAUUCAAUUUGUACACAGAAAUAUUAUUAGGUAACUUCUAAAAUAUGGAAGGACAAAUAAUUCAAGGUGGGUACUUGACUUAUAACCUACAUGGCACCAAUAAUAAAGGUUGUAAUGUCAAUUCACGCACUAUUUACCUACCUAACUUAAAACGCAUUACAAAAAUAAAUAAUGGGAAGGUGAAUGACUAACCUGCAAGUGGCUUUUUUACCAACAUCAAGAUACAUUCUUAAAUUUUGUUUGUCUACACAAUAGCAGCAUUGAUUUACGGGAAUGUCCUAAUGAUCAUAGCAAUGUAGAAAUUAAAAUAUCGUUCCAAGUGACCAAGUAUGACCUAUGAAUACUUUGCGUUUGAAUAAAUAUACGCGGAGGGAAAAAAUUCCGAGAAUCCAAAGCAACAAAUCAGAAAUUUGUUGAUGACUUACUGUUCAAUGAAAAAAAAGAGACUUUGGUUGUAAGCAGACCAACAUACCAGAAAAUAUUUGGGAGUAAUUAAGCAUUACCUUUUGCAUGUCACAUCCUUAUAUUGCUUCACCUUGUUCUCUAUUCACUUCAAAGCUUGAACCCCCCGAGCAGACUCAUACUGGCAUGUAUUUCUUUAUCACCCCUGCGUUUUCUAUGUCAAGCAUGAGGCAAAGAGCAGCAUGCAUAUGCUUGGUAUCAUGGGAAACUUUUCAAUUCCAUAUAACAUGCCAUGUCUCCUGGAUAUGUUUUCUGUUGUGGUACUACCAGUCGAGGCAUUGCACACACACUGCAUGUAUCAAACAAAAUUAUAUGUCAAGUAAUAAUGGACUUAACAAAACAUCACUCUCUCAUCCAUGGCCUAAAAUAUUAGUGUAACAGAAUCGCUUCUAAUGCCAAAAAGAUCUAAUCUCUAUGUCAUGAAAAUCUGUAUGUUAUCCACUUUGUGAUGGAUGCCCUCUAUAGUCAUAUAUCAGUUUAUUUUUAUUUUUCAGAAUGAGUUAAAAAUGUAAUGUCAGAUUUGAACUAUAUCUUUUAUGUUGGAUACCAUCUAUAAUGACAGGUAAGUUUGCUCUUAUGUUUAAGAAUGAAUUACACUGCAGAAUAAUUUGAAACAUAAUGAUUUGAAACAAAAUAGAAAACAUUAGACGUGGCAAAAUUGAAACAAAUUUCAACGGGUAAACUUAAUCUUUUCUGUACCAAUAGUAUAACUUUAUUAAGCAUCCAAAUAAUGAAAUGGUCACUAAAUCUAUUAUGCCCUGAAAUUUUAAAACAUUACACUAUUAAUUAUAGGGUUAUGCUUAUACAUAAAACAAAAGCUAGAUGCUUAUUAAACAUGUACCAUGAAGAUGUCAAGUGCUAUACCAUUUUUAAUUUCCACGGAUGAGUAGUGACUAAAAACAAAGAAUAUUAAUAAAAUAGAUGGCGAACAUCUUGGCAACAUGUUGAGUCGGCAUGUUCAAACUGGCAAUGCAGUUCAAUGUUCCAGAGCUUAUCCUUGACAACUAUACGACCCGGUGGCAUGCAACAAAUCGAGGGAAACAUGAACCAAAGCAACGUAGAAAAUCGGUCGAGCACCCUCUUUCUUCGAGAAGCCUUAUAAGAUAUGUAUUCACCUGAAACGAACAACAAAAUAUAAAUAUGAUUACGAUAAACUUAGGAAAUCUUGUAUCUAGUCUCCCUCUGAAAUAUCAAUAAUAAGAAGGUGGGUGAAAUGGCAUACCAACUACUAUUUCUCAAUCACAUAUUGAAAUAACUCAAUCUGCGCCUAAAGGAUGAAUUAAACAUAUGUGGACAUGAGUGCACUAUAUAUGCGUGUAAGUAUCAGCAAUAAAUAUAUUCCACACUUGUAGGAAUCAUAAAGAACAACUCAUGCAUGCAUAAUGCAAAAGGUAGUAAAUAAAAGUAAGAAUUUCGUACCAUAUAUAGCAUGCAGAUUGUCUCACAACAAUCGAAUUGUCCCCGCUAUAAGAUUGUUAGCUAUGUAGAAAUAUAACUAUAUAUUUACCUACAUGCAUUCUGUUAGACAUAAUCACGAUUAGGCAAUUGAGUCCGGCACGAACUCGUAGCUUUAGCCGAGUCGGUCAUGUAUUGGUAGGAUAAUAGUACUAUAUAUACCUGUACGUGGCUCCCCUGUAAACAAUCGAGAUCGAAAAAUCAAAGCAAUAAUAUUCCCAGGAGCGACACACUCCUGUUGCCAUAAACUCGGCGACCCGGCGUAUAAUAUUUCACGUGUGAGAGACGGAUCGUAGUGGUGCUGCUAGCUAGCGUACGCGUCCAGAAUCCAUCCAGCUCCUUGCCUACUUGCCUAUUACCACUGCUACGUAUACAUCCUCUACGGAAAGUACUCGUAUUAGGGGAUCAGUGCUAACACAUUCGCGAGAAGUAUCUUGAGCUGGUGGUACACAGGAGCACACAUAUUACGUCCACACCCAGGUGUGUUUGCGCCUCUAGCUCUGUCCUUUGACGUUGAUUUUUCCCCUCCUUAUUUUCUGUGAAAUUGGAACACAAAUAUCAAAACUAUUACUUAACAUCAACUCGGUAGAUGAUCUAGGAAACCGAUCUGCAUGCGCACUCUAUAGGUUUAAAAUGAAAUAGUAAGUAAAUCAUAUCAACAUAUAUAUUGUUGUUGAAUAGAAUAAAUUAGUGGAAAACCACAUGAGAGGUAAUGCAUCAAUGUAUCUGAAGCCCUUUGAAACAUCUACCAGUUUCAUGCUUGAUUACUAUACUAAAACCUUGACGGCCUGCAGAACAAUAUGACAGCCUUCCGUACUAAGGAUCCCAUGUACAGGUAUACAACACAUGGAUCUUUACUAUUUCAAGUUACGUGAUGGCUGGGAUUAACAUUGAGAUCAGGGGCAUGGUUUCCCUUUGUGUGAGGUCGUAGCUGAGGAAAACAAAUCAACAUAGCUUUGUGUACUUGCACAUGUGGACCGGAGAUCAAUCAGGUGCUAAACACGUGUACCUGUUCAUCUUGGUUGACCAUCAUCUGCAAGAACAUCGCGUGGACGGGCGGUGGCGUGGGAUUCACUCAGUUUGGGUGAGUAGCUUGCACCAGCGGUGACGGCGAGAUUAGCGGGAAGGCGUGGUGAGGGAGAGGAUUUUGCGGCGACGAAGGCGAGAUUAGAGGAAACAUAUUUGUUUUCCUAGGAUUACUGAUAGGGCUUUGUUUUUCAAUGGCCAUUAAUUCGGCAGGUUUUUUGAGGGAGAGAUUGGGCAGGUUUUGUAGCUCGUCAACAAUAGAUACGGUGGACUGUUUUUUUUUUACUUUACAAUGGUUUUCACGUUUAGGUAAUUAGGACUUUUUUUUAUAGUCAUUGACAGGUGUAAUGGUCGUGACCAAUUUGGUAAUGUAUAAUGGUUCACGUAUACAUGUGUAAUAGUAAGUUUCAAAAAGAGUUUAGAUAGAUCUAAACCGUUAUAAAUCGGACCUACCAGAUUAACGUUCCUUAAUUUCUAUGUAUAUUAUUUAAAUCAUUUUUUAUCUAACAGAUCAAGAAUCGAUCUACACCGUAAUAAUUCGGUCCCAUCAGAUUAACGGCUCAUAAAAUCUAAUUAACGUGGGAUUUUUUAGAGAGCCACAAAUUAGUAUAAGUAAGUAUAGAUAAUUAAGAAGAAAAAAAAGAUAUGUAUAGUAAGUGAAAUCUUUUUGUCGUGAUGAUGUUUUUCUUAUCGGCGAUACAGUUCUUUACUUGUAUCCAUCUCUAUUUUUUGUACAGCCUUUUUAUACUUGUGCAGUUACACUCUAUUAGUAUGUUUGUACAACACAAUAUUUCACAGAAGUUGAGAAGAAAUUCAUAAAAAUAAGAACAAGAAGGUAUUUCCUUUCUCGAACACGGAAGAUAUGUUAAGCAACAGAAUCAAAGCUAUAUAGAGAUAACUGAAGGUAGAUUUACUCCAGCACCGUGCACAGUGCACACUACCACCUUACUACAGCCUAAGAAAUGACCGACCCAAUGGACACUCCACAGACUGAACACAGAAGAUAUUUCACCCUAAUGUCUAGUAGUGAGAGGUCGAUAGAGCUCCGGGCAACGAGUGAUUGUUCGUGUUACCGAAGGAGCUCCUUGCACAGACAAUACUACGAUAAUAAAGUAAAUCACGCCUAAUUUUCCGUGACACCAAAUGAAAGAGGACCCCCAUCCACUCGCUGGGCAUGUCGUAGGCCUACAGCUCAAAAACAACGAGGCAACAUGUCAGCAUUUUGCAUUGGGUUAAGAGAGAAAUGAACCGAUGGAUAGAUAUGGAUUGGAGGGGCAAGAUGAACGUUACCUCGGGUGGAGGCGCCUCCUCAUCUCGUAUCUUUUCCAGGCUCGUGAGAAGGUAUUUUACGGCGGAAUCGAGCUGUCUGGAGAUCAACAACAAGAUUAGAUAGAAACGGUCUCAAGCUAUAAAUCACACGGCGGCUCGUCGGAGUCGGGGGAGAGAGAGAGAGAGGCAUACGGCUCAUGGUCUUCGCAGUCGAGAUGAACGUGUCUGUCACCCACCCGUCGUCACCGACGUAGUGCGUUGAGAACGUGAUCUUCUCCUCCGGCGGCGAGUCGGCAGGCGGGAACUGCACGGUCAUGGUCACCUUCUUCCCUCCGGACGGAUCGGCGGCCGUGAGGCCGGUGAGGAGCAGGAAGAAGACGGAGAGGCGGGUCAGGUAGUAGAGCCGAGCCAUGGCACAUACUUUGGGGGUGACGAGUGUUAGGUUGAUCUCUCGUUCAAUGGGCCAUUGAAACCUUGACCCAUGUCCUGAUCGGGGGCGUCCAGCCCGCGCAAGGCUGGUGGACCCGUGUCGCGCAGUGCUAUAAAGAGGAGGUGGGGACCAUGACACAAGACACGAGGUUCGCUGUUCCUCACUCUCAACCCUAACCCGAUCCAGAUGGUAGCACUGAAGCGAUGGGAAGUCCAUCACCGCCACUACUGGAUCUCUCUCUGCUUCCCCACCGUCGUCAUCACCUCACGACGGUCUCUGGAGGGAGCUCAUCGAGUUCACCAUAAGGUAAUAAAUCAGUACAUCAUUCCGAACACAUCUAGCCUAAAAUCCACGGAUCUAUCAAUGGUAUCAGAGCCACAGGCUUUUGAUGUGUUUUAGGGUGAAGAAUGUACAAGUAAAGUUUUCCCCCUCCCCGAUAUGAUCCCUACAAGAGGGCAAAGGACUAGAUGAAAAGCAAAAGAACAAGUAAAAGGCAACCAGAUUCCUAUCCGGCAAAGAAGCGCCGCCGCAAGGCCGCGCCUAUUCCUCUCGAUCCCCACACGCAUCGGCAUGCCGAGGUGUGGGGAAGAAGAACCUACCUCCUCGGAGGCAAAGAUCGGAUCCUUUGAGAUCCAAAAGGCAUACAAAAAAAGGCAAAGAAGAAGGGGAACAUGCCAAGCAAAGAAAAGCCACCCCUCCGGUGGCAAAGUACAUGCACCGCGACCACGCCGUUCGACGGCGGCGCGCUUCCGCUAAGGGAAACGCGCCACCGGCGAAGGGCAGGCAACGGUGCAAAAGGUGCAACGACGCAAAAGGAAAAACCCCAAACGGGGCAAAGGGCAUGACCACCGCGCCUUUGACGGUGGCGCGUUCACCUUGAAGGUGCUCGCGCGCGCCGGCAAAGGAAUGGAAGUGGAGCCACCAUGACAUGCCGCUGCAGGACAGAAAGAAAAAUGGCACCACGGCCGACCCAAUCGACGGCGGCGCGCUCACAGCAAAGGGAACGCGCAACCGGCGAAAGGGAAGGGCCACGGUGCCAUGAAGUGAUGCUCCACCGAUGGAGGCCGCCGCUGCUGCAAAGAAAGGGGAGAAGAAAGGGCCCCGGCCACCCGCAGGCAGCACCUCGCGCGACGAGCCACAGGGAGCCACCGCUCGAGGCCGCCGCUGCAAAGAAAGGGGAGAAGAAAGGGCCCCGGCCACCCGCAGGCAGCACCUCGCGCGACGAGCCACAGGGAGCCACCGCUCGACGGGGCAUGGAACCCCUCGAUCGAGGGGACGAACGGGGCAAGGAGCCGCCGCUCGACGGGGCUGGGAGCCGCCGCUCGACGGGGCAUGGAACUCCUCGGUCGAGGGGACGAACUGAGCAGAGCCGCUCGGGAGAGGAGCGUUGCUGCGAGAGAGAGGAGAGUGGCGGGCUGGGGAGGGAGAAAUGAGCGCUAGGGUUGCCCCUCCCCACCGGUCUACAGUUUUGUUGCUCCGAGGCGCACGGGCGACGACCCCCCAUCGAUCCACUAGGUAACCCUAGGCUGGCUCGGGCCUUUGGGCCGCUGUGAGCGCUGCGCCAGGGAAGGCCGGACCGCUAAGAGGCCAAGGCCAAGGCCAGAGCCAUCAGUUUCGGCCGCUGGGCAAGUAGGCUCCCAGGCCGGCCCAAGCAGGCCCCUGUAGGUCGAAAGUUUUAUUCUGUCAUUUUAUUUUUAGGCAGAUUCAACAAUUGUUUCUAAGCAUUGUUUUUCUAUGAAACUAUGUUUAGAAAAAUAGAAAUUAAAAAUGUCCAAAGUUUCUGUAAUUUAAUACAGAAUUGCAAAAUUAUUUUUCUGAAAAGAAAAAUAAAGGUUUUCUGAAAAUUAAGUAGUUUUUUAGAAAAGGAAAAAUUGGUGUUUUUUUAUAAAUUGAUUUAUAAAGUUCACCAAUUUUGUUUUAAUGAUAGAAUUAAUUUUCUGCAAAGUUAUGGGCACAUGAAUUUUUAUAUUCACGUUUUUUCCGUUGCAAAGUAAAAGUUUAAUCCUCCAAUUAAAUUGGAACCAAUGGGAAAAUUUAAUUGGAAGAACUGUUCUUGGCAAUACUUUUCCCGUGUGGGUGAAAUAAGAUUCAAACAGUUUCCGCUAUGACGAUAGAAUGAUGUUUGUUUUAAAGUUAAAAUAUGGUAUUUUUGUUUUCUAACCAACGUUGAUGAUAACAAUACUGUGAUUGUAUGAGUCAUCUUAUGUUCAAAGCUUAAAUCUCUGAUAAAUUUUGUAUCAAAGUGAUCAAUUCUCAGAGCACAAAUAGAGAAAUGUAUAUUUCUUUUUCUGAUACAAUAUGGUUGAUGAUGAUGAUUAUUUCUUAGUAAAGUUGUUCAAUAGAAAUUAUAUCAUCACAUAGUUUAAGAGUCAUAUGCAUUAUUUCCAUUUCUGCCCAACGGUGAUAUGGAAUUAAUGCAGAAGAAUGAUGUUUUUAUUCCAAUUCUACCACAACGGUGAUUUAGAAUAUACAAAAGGGUUUUAAAAGGUUUAAUGUGCAUAAUUUUAACCAGACCAACGUAGGGUUAUUUUUUAUGCUCAUUAUUGUCUGUUUAUUUGCUAAGCUCUCCGAGACUAAAAGUUUUCUUUUCAUGCUUUCAUUCCCGAAAGCGAAUGAUUGGGUACUAGUGACCCGAAAGAUGGAAAAGAAAGGUCAUAACUUGAGGGAAUAUAUUCUCUCUAAAGAAUGGCCUCAAAAGAAAAGAACUCUUGGAUAUCAAUUCAAGAAAAGAAAAGAGAUAGAUCAUUGAGAGUCUUGGUUGACGAAUGUCUUUUAUGUACUCUCUAUGAAGAAGUCUCCUUUUUCAGUCAACAUGAUUGAAAUGAAACAAGCAACAUGCAUGUUUAAUUUGACCAACGUCGGAUCAAACAUGUGUGUCAAAUAUAAUUUAGAUUUAUUUCUGAAUAUGCAGUCAAAAGAGCCAAUUAUGGCAUUUAUGUCCCUUACAGGGAAUUACCCGCAUGGCGGGAAAAGUCUGGGAAAAAUGCGUGCGUAACUGGAUAAAGUUGACAUUGUAUUAUGUCAACAAUCCGUGUAUGGCGGGAGAAAUUUUGGCAAAGGCCUUAUCCUGUAUGACAGGAGAAAGUUAUGAUGACUCAUAUGCGGUUAAUGUGUCCCACUAUGGGAGAAAAGUAUGGAGUAGCUAUUAAGCUUUCCUAGUAUCGACCGUACACCCUAUGUGUAACGGUCAUUAAGCAAUCACUAAAUCCAGAAAGGAUAAAAGUAACAGACGAACCUAAAGACAAGAAUGAUAUGCAAGUGUGACUUGCAAAAGUGACAAUUAUAAAGAACUCCGUUGAGUUUCUGAAAUGAAAUGAGGAAAAAGUACUCCCAUACUAGUUAACUUAUAACUUCAUUUUACAUGAAGUGAUAAGAUGAAUGAGCUAGAUAAUCAAAGUUUCCUCAUUUCACAAGAGCUAUGAAUGGGUUUCGAAAUGGUGGCAGGAAAGUUCUUGCCACAUUUCGAGGGGGAGAAAGAGACAUGUAGUGUAUUUCAUGACUCCUCUGUACUUUAGAUGAUGUGAUGUACAUUAUGCAUCUAAAGUGAUCCAUUAAUGAAGAAUGUGAUUGUCAAGGGGUGUACGACAAUCAUUAGAAUACCGUCAUUAUGAUACCCCUAAAGAAAAGAAACAGUUGUAUUUCCGGAUCUUUUAUAGUUUCGAAAGUAGACUAAGGAAUACAACAAUGGUGCUUAAAGUGCCAUAAAGAAGAAAGUUUAAAGAUACGCCAUUUCUUUAGUGAAGAUGAAGUAAUCUGGGGGAGCAUGUUGUAUGACCUAUACAACACCUGUUGUUAGCUCUACAAGGGAUCUUCUGAUACAGAUCCCUGUAAAACCUAUUGCCUUUUGGAAACGGGUGACUAUAGAAUUAAUUUGCCUCUUGGCAAUGACAGAGCAACGACAACCCCAUAUGAAAGAAGUGCCAGUACCUGAGAUUUUGAUGGUCUCUAGGAAUGUGAAAAUCAGAUACUUGUGACUACUAUAAAGUCUAUGUUAGUNNNNNNNNNNNNNNNNNNNNNNNNNNNNNNNNNNNNNNNNNNNNNNNNNNNNNNNNNNNNNNNNNNNNNNNNNNNNNNNNNNNNNNNNNNNNNNNNNNNNNNNNNNNNNNNNNNNNNNNNNNNNNNNNNNNNNNNNNNNNNNNNNNNNNNNNNNNNNNNNNNNNNNNNNNNNNNNNNNNNNNNNNNNNNNNNNNNNNNNNNNNNNNNNNNNNNNNNNNNNNNNNNNNNNNNNNNNNNNNNNNNNNNNNNNNNNNNNNNNNNNNNNNNNNNNNNNNNNNNNNNNNNNNNNNNNNNNNNNNNNNNNNNNNNNNNNNNNNNNNNNNNNNNACUAACAUAGACUUUAUGAAGGGUCUACAAUGCAAAUGUGACUCCAAAGGAAAUAUGUAAAGGUGUAAAACAUGACUUAAACCGAAAGAUUUUGUGCAAAGAAAAUGAGAGGACAAUUGCAUUCAUGCAAAGUUAUAGAAUGGGAAAUUCGUUUCCCAAUUCCUGUGCAUGUGGAUGACGUACUACUUGCUAGUGGUGAUGUCAAUUCUAGUGUAGGAGGAGAGAAGAAGUUCUUGUCCUCAGAGUUCAAAAGAAUAAAAGGGGGUAUUAAGAAUGUCGCAUGGACAUGCUAAGAAAGAUCUCUAAAGUAUGCAUACGAGAAAACCUACGCCUGUUCUUAUAGUCAAGGGUAAUGGAACUCGAAACUAUGGUGUUUCAAAAGCUAAUAAGAAAAGAUCGUAAACGAAUAUGGUACCAUAUGCUUCAGUUGUUGGAAGCUCAAGAUAUUACCCUGACACAGUUCACGUAUAUAUCCGGGUGUUUUUGGCAAUGUCCAGUCCAUAGAUAAAUCAAUGGAAUGGAGUCAAAGAUAUCUGCCUCAUGAUGGAAGAAAUAAGUGCUCUCAAAAGAUUGUGAGUACAAAGGCAGGACUUGUGAAAUGUAUAGAGAAAUCCAUAAUUGUCGCUAACUUUCAUACUCGAAGUUUUGUGUGGAAAAUCUCCAAAUGAGUGAAACGAUUGUCAUCAAUGUGAUGCAAUGAUAUGUUAUAGCUUGAUAUGAGGCUGAGGGACAGGCAAAAUGGUUAAGGCUACUUGUACCCGGAGUUGAUAAUGGUUGACAACAACGAUAUCCAUUUUAAGUUCUUUCGCUCCUAUCACAACGAGUCAAGUGUUGAUGCCAAACACACUGACAAAGAGUUACGUGUUGUGAAGGAGAAAGUCCGGAAUUGUAGAAAAAUGCUUGAAGCAUAAAAGCAAAAAACAAGUGUUUGCAGAUCUGCUUAUCAAAGGCUUACCGCCCAGUGUGUUCGGAGAACACACAGUCGACAUGGGUUUUAUGGUAUAGUCUAAAAUUUCCGGACAAUAAAGGGCCCAAGGUUAAAGAAUCUGUCUCAAAAUAGAGAGGUACAUUGUGGCUGUCUGAUUCCAUCGGCAAUUGAGCUGUGACGAUGAAACAUGCCCUAUGUAUUGAUCUGUUGCGAAACGAGUAAAGUUAAAAGCGUAUGAUGAGAUCAAGGGGGAGAAUGUUAGGUUGAUCUCUCGUUCAAUGGGCCCAACGGCCCAUUGGAACCUUGAUCCAUGCCCUGAUCGGGGGCGUCCAACCCGAGCAAGGCUGGUGGGCCCCUGUCGUGAAGUGCUAUAAAGAGGAGGUGGGGACCAUGGCACAAGACACGAGGUUCGCUGCCUUCACUCGUUCCCCACUCUCAACCCUAAGCCGAUCCAGAGGGUAGCACUGAAGCGAUGGGAAGUCCAUCACCGCCGCUACCGGAUCUCUCUCUGCUUCCCCACCGUCGUCACCACCUCACGACGGUCUCUGGAGGAAGCUCAUCGAGUUCACCAUAAGGUAAUAAAUCACUACAUCAUCCCGAACACAUCUAGCCUAAGAUCCACAGGAUCUAUCAACGAGGGCACAUAACCUACCGCUUGUUGCUAGCUCGUUCAACAGCGUGAAGGAAAUGUGGCCGGCCAAGCAUGCAUAUAUGGAGGAUUGGUAAGAGCAGAACUGUGUGAACUGCUGUGCUGGUGUAGCUACUGUUACCCGUAUGGUUUUACAGUCAUUGGUGUUCUUAAACCUACCGUGGAUUCCACAUUCUAGCAACGAUUUUAACCUGGAAAAUAAGGAUAGACAAGAGGAUUGCAUUUUAAUGUAUAAGUGCAUCUCCGACAACGACCUGCAAACAACCCACAUAUGUCCGAAUCGUAUUGUUCGGACACAUAUUAUGUGAGUAAAGGAAGGGGGUUGCCCGGUUCAAAAAAAAACCCCACAUAUGUCCGAAUCGUGUUGUUCGGACUGCGGAAGCCAUCGUCCCCACCGCGGGUCUUGUCAAGCACAAGUCGGCAUCCCCGCUUUGACAAGUGAAGGACGAGCUGGCAUCCUGGCACGCAACCGCGACCUUCACAUCGACAGUCUCGUGAAGCAGGAGCCCGCGUUCCCCCGCGCCACCACCACGUGACGUCGAGGCCGGCAUCGCUUCAUCCACAUAGCCACUACGUGCGGAUUCAUGGGCCAUCCUCGCCACCUCGAUGCCACCGCCGCCAGAUAAAGGAGGAGGUGCUGCCCGUGAUCGCCAAGGUACGUGUCCAUAUCCUCCACUACCUGGGAGGCAGUGGUUACAGCGGUGCCUCUGGCUCUUGGGCCAUGGUGGCCGAGGCCGAACGCUCGAUGCAGCAGCAAGCGAGGUAUGGUCGGUGCAAUGUCGUUCUUUGCCUCACGUUCGCUAAACGUAUGUGGUGUUGGAUACAUGUCCGACUAGACGAGUACUUUCCGUCUAGACGAUCUCGUUGUGGCAGCCACAAAGAGCAAGCAAACACGUAAGCCGCCGGUGGAUGGAUACUCACGUAACAAAGCUAAGCAGCCAAGCUAGUAGCUGGAUAGUUUGUUGACGUGAAACUAUCUAGACGAGACUAGCACGGAUGCAAGUCGCCGUAGACAAAAUACGUACACGAGAGACAAGUUCCGGCGUGUUGGCUAGAGGCCCGUAUCGAGCCUUUGAUUGUGUUGCUUUGAUCUGAGUUCUCAAUACACAUGGGUUACAUAGGUAUAUAUAUUAGCAAACUAGCCUAAUACUAAACCUAGUCCGUGACUGUUUCCAGUCCGAGCCGGACAUGGAACCAUACAUCCUGGAUUAUGCCAACAAUCACCCCCUAAACAUGAUGUCCUCACUUUACAGCUUGGACGCCUAUCCUUCUCCGCAUAUCCGUGAACUUAUGUCGUCCCAAAGACUUGGUCAGGAUAUCUGCAAGCUGGUCGUGGGUGCAUACAUAGUUGACUUCAAUCUUGCCUUCUUCCAUGCACUGUCGUAUGUAGUGAUACCUUAUAUCGAUGUGCUUGGUCCUGUCAUGAUGCACUGGAUUCUUACACAGGGCAAUCGCAGACUUGUUGUCAACAUUGAGCACCACUCUUUCUGGUUCUUUAUCUGUGAGGUCACCGAGUAGCCUUUCUAGCGACACACCUUGACCCGCUGCGGUUGCAGCUGCUAUAUACUCUGCUUCGCAGGACGAUAAUGCGACCACCUUCUGCUUUUGUGAUAGCCAAGUUACUAUGCUCCUGCCCAAGAAAUAUGCCAGACCCGAGGUACUUUUAUGGUCGUCCACAUCUCCUGCCAGGUCGCUAUCACUGUAGCCAAGUAGCUCCACCAUCUUCUUCUUUUUCUCUCUCAAAUAGACGCAACCGAAGUUUGUUGUCCCUUUGAUGUACCUGAGUAUAUGUUUGACAGCUGCCCAAUGUUCAGCCGUGGGUGCUUCCAUGAAGCGACUCACUAUGCCAACGGAAUAUGCCAAGUCCGGUCGUGUAUUCACAAGAUACCUUAGGCUUCCGACCACACUUCUAUAAUCCGUUGCAUCAACCGCAGGGGCUUCACUCCUUUUGCUAAGUUUAAGCCGAGGCUCCAUUGGAGCAGAAGUUGGUUUGCAAUCCUCCAUGCUACAACUUUCAAGUAUCUUCUUUGCAUAUGCCUCUUGACAUGGUGUGAUCCCAUUCGGCUUUUGUUGUACCUCAAUCCCGAGGUAGUAUGUCAAGAGCCCUAGAUCACUCAUCUUGAAUAGCUCCUUCAUUUGUAGCUUGAAUCUUGCAAUCUCCUCUUCGUCUGCUCCAGUUAUCAAGAGAUCAUCAACAUAGAUGCCCACUAAGAGACGAUCCUUGCCUUUACCUCGCUUGUACAUAGCAUGCUCGAGUGGACUUUUCUCGAAACCAAGAGAAAUAAUUGUACGGUCAAGCUUGAUGUUCCAUGCCCGAGGAGCUUGGUGUAGCCCGUACAAUGCCUUGUGUAGCUUCAACACCUUGUGUUCUUCUCCUUCUUUGAUGUACCCUGGUGGUUGCUUCACGUAUACUUCUUAUUCCAACUCCCCGCUCAAAAAUGCGGAUUUUACAUCCAUGUGAUGUAGCCUCCAAGAUUCUUGAGCCGCGAGAGCUAUAACUAGCCUCACCGAUUUCAUCCUUGUGACUGGAGCGAACACUUCCUCGAAGUCCACACCUUGCUCUUGCACGAAUCCUUUAGCUACGAGCCGAGCUUUAUGCUUGACCAAGUUUCCUUCAGCAUCCUUCUUGACUUUGUACACCCACUUGAGCCCUAUGGAUUUGUGACCAUUGAGAAGAUCAGCGAGCUCCCAUACUUUGUUGUCUCGUAUUGAUCCCAACUCUUCAUCCAUAGCACGACGCCAACACUCCUCAGUAUUUGCUUCUUCAAAUUUUGUCGGUUCCUCGACGCUAAGCAAACAUUGUCAUCCUCUUCUUAUAACUUUGACACGAUUAAUAGUACGGAGUGCCUACUCCGGAUAUAAAUCCACCACUGGUCGAAGACGAACUGGUGUCGGCGGAUGUUCCCUUGUCUCUUGUUCUGUCGAAGACGAGGAAUUUUCAUCUUGUGGAGUUGCCAAACUCCUGUUUUCUGGCGAUCCAGGUUCUCGAGAAUUAGUUGCACGUACAUGUGAACCUUCAAGUCCACGUGCAUGCCUUCCUGUCUCACAACUAGCUUGAGUUGGAGCCAUAUUCUGGCCAUGCCCAGGCUGUGGACUUCCAGGCGCAGCUCCCAGGCUGCUCCCCUGUGCUAUGAAGUCACUUGGUUUAGCGCUUCGAGCAUCACUUGGUGUGCUGCAUGAGCCAUCGCAUACCUCGUCUGCUGCAUCCUGCUGCGUGCCUUGGCGCGCCUCUGUCCCUGCUUUAUCUGGCGCGUUCGGUUGCGCUCCGUUGUUCGGAGAAUCACUCGGCGUCGUCGUAGUCUCUGGUUGAUUGUCGGCAUGCUCGUAUUCGUUGUAAACAACGUGAAAGAUUUCAUCAGAGAUCGGGUAUACCGUAUCGGUAGAGUUCCAAUUCCAUGACCUUUCUUCUUCAAAGACCACGUCACGCGUCACAACCACCUUAUUGGUAGAGGGGUUGCACGCACGGUACGCCUUCGAGCCCGCUUCAUAGCCAACCAAUAUCAUUGGAGUACUCCGAUCCGCCAACUUACUUGUAUGCCCAGUCACCGUCUUCACAUGUGCCACGCAUCCGAAAGUACGAAGAUGAUCAACCGCGGGCUUAUGUCCGUACCAUGCUUCGUACGGCGUCAUCCCAACCACACUCUUGGUUGGAGCCCGGUUCAGCAAAUAAACGGCCGUAUUGACCGCCUCACCCCAAAACUUGCCCGGAAUCCCUUUGCUCUUCAUCAUGCUUCUUUCCAUCGCCACCACGGUUUGAUUCCUCCGUUCCACAACACCGUUUUGCUGUGGUGAAUAUGGCUCCGUAAGAUACCGCUUGAUCCCAUGUGCUUCGCAAAAUUCUGUGAAUUCACGAGACUUGAACUCACCCCCCCCGAUCGGUACGGAGGGCCUUCAGCUUGGCUUCGGAUUCUACCUCGGCCGCCAUCUUUACUUUCUUGAAGGCUUGCAAAGCUUGGUCCUUCGUCUUCAACAACAUAAUCCACAUGUAUCUGCUAAAGUCGUCGACUAUGAGUAAGAAGUAUUUGUUCCGAGCUGGGGUAGCCGGUGUAAUGGGUCCGCACAAGUCUCCAUGGACCAACUCAAGAGCUUUACUUGCUCUAAAGUUUCCCUCUCUCGGGAACGAGGUCCGCCUUUGUUUCCCAACAAGGCAACCGUCGCACACUUGCUCAACAUGAUCAAUGCACGGUAGGCCACGUACCAUCUCCUUUUGUCCAAGUUGCCGAAGAGACUGGAAAUUUAGAUGACCGUAGCGCGCGUGCCACUUCCAUGCCGAGUCCUCCAUGCUUGACAAGAGACAUACUGGAUCCACACGAUCCAAGUUGAGGAUGUAGAAUCUGUUCUGUGACCUCUGCACCUUCAUGAUCAACAUCCUUGGACGGUCAUACCCCCAUAAAUAGUCAUCUUCGAGCACAAUCUUGCAACCACGCUCCUCGAGCUGGCCAAGACUUAUGAUGUUGAUCUUUAGCUUGGGAAUAUAGUACACAUCUGUGAGUACCUUGUGACCGCCAUUCUUCAACUCAAAUAGGACAGUACCUCGCCCUAUGAUGUCAACGGUCCGCCCGUCACCGAACCGAACCAUGCCUCCAAGCGAGAGAUUUAGCUCAGAAAACUGGUCCUUGUCACCGGUCAUGUGGUUGCUUGCUCCCGUGUCGAGGUACCACACGUGCCUCGCCAUGUUCACCCUCUUUUUGUAAUGAAGGUAAACCUUCUCUUCGUCGAGCGUGACAACCUCGUCGGUGCCUUCGGAGCUGGACCAUCCUCGUCCAUAAGCUCGCAUACUUCGACCAUGAGCAUCAUAUCGCUAUCAUCGCCUCCCUUGGCCAUGAGAGCUCUUUCCUUCGGUGGACUCUUGCAAUCAGACUUGAAGUGACCGAGGAUUCCACAAUUGUGACACCUUACUUUUUUUAUGUCAAAUUUUCUCCUUGGUUUUCUAGCCUUUUCUUCCUGUCUAGCGAGGUCCUUUUUCGUCGGGCUUUGCUUCUCCUUUGCUUUACUACCGCUUGUGGAUCCACCUUGCUUUCCUUUCGACAGGGCCAUCCAUUGCGCCAUUGUAAGCAUGAGAUGCUCACUCUCCUUCGAAUCGCCGAAGCUGAGACGAAUUGUCUCAUCGUGGGCCUUGAACCUUCCAACGAGAUCCUCGACCGUGAGAGUGUUCAGGUCAAGACAUUGCUCGAUCGACGUGACGAUUUGGAUGUAGCGUGCCGGCGCGACGCGCAAAAAUCGUCGGAUGAUCGCAACUUCUUCUAGGGUUGAACCAUAGCCGCGUAUGCCGUUGACGAGGGUCUUGAGACGGGCGGCAAACUGAUCAACCGUCUCGCUUUCCUCCAUCUUCAGGCACUCGUAGCUUCUCAUCAGGGACUGAAGGUGUGCUUCCUUGACACGGUCAUGACCCUGGUGCAGGAUCUUGAUGGUCUCCCAUGCCUCCUUCGCCGUUUUCUUUCCGAUGAGGUGUUGCAGCACAUCCUUCGGCAUAGCGGAGUAGAUCGCUGUUAAUGCCUGACGAUCCGUCCGGUACUUUGCAGCGCCCUUCGCAUACUCGGCGCCGCCGGGAUCGACGGCUUCCCAGAACUCCGCUCCCUCCAUCGCGACCUUCAUGUUCAUCGCCCAUAGUGCGUAGUCCUCUCGAUCCAGCCGGGGGAAUUGCGACCCCCAACCAUCGGCAUCGGUGCUUUAGCUCCCGCCACAACGAUCUCCUUGCUCGGGUUUGACAUGAUCCUUCGAUUGCUUUCCGAAGAUCACGCCAAUAAACCAAGCUCUAAAUACCAAUUGUUGGAUACAGGUCCAACUAGGACGAGUACUUUCCGUCUAGACGAUCUCGUAUGCGGCAGCCAGAGAGAGCAAGCACGUAAGCCGCCGGUGGAUGGAUACUCACUUAACAAAGCUAAGCAGCCAAGCUAGUAGCUGGAUGGUUUGUUGACGUGAAGCUAUCUAGACGAGACUAGCACGGAUGCAAGUCGCCGUAGACAAAAUACGUACACGAGAGACAAGUUCUGGUGUGUUGGCUAGAGGCCCGUAUCAAGCUUUUGAUUGUAUUGCUUUGAUCUGAGUUCUCAAUACACAGGGGUUACAUAGGUAUAUAUAUUAUCAAACUAGCCUAAUACUAAACCUAGUCGGUGACUGUUUCCAGUCCGAGCCGGACAUGAACCAUACAUCAUGGAUUAUGCCAACAUGUGGCGCCGGAAUGGUUGUCGUGGCCUUCCGGUGCCGUUCUGCCAUUGAAAGGACCACAACGACGACGACGGCACCGACGAAGACGACGGUACGGCAGGGCAAAGCGGCCACAAAUACAAGGUGGUCGUCUGGUAUAUUUUUUAAACGGUUGAAAUAUCAACCAUUUUAUGAAAAUUAUAUUUGAACUUGAAUGAAAUCCAUCCGGUUUAACCGAAUUUCAUCUAGGUGGUUCAAAUUGUUGGUCCCAUAUAUACAGUUAGCAUUGGAUGUUGUUUUUCGCAUCCAUAUCUGUGAAUUGAUCCAAUAUCUAUGGACGGAUGAGGGAAAAAAAUUGUGGAUUGACGUUAUAGAUGCCCUAAGAGCUGGCUCGGUACAGCCACUCACGCAGUGUGCGCCAUUCAACCGUUUGUGAAUCUGAUCUUCUCGGCCGUAGUGUAGUGCAGGCUUUAUGGUCAUGGAGCCGUUCGCCUCAACUGCUUAUGAUCAAGGAGCCGUAGGGUGAUCAUGCAUGUACCAGCUGCUGCUACUAGCUGUUGCAAGUGCUAGUUCAACGUGGGUAUCAUCAGCAGCUUAUGGUCAUGGAGCCAUUCGCCUCGACUGUCUCGGGACAAGUAUAUAGCAAAAAUGCUACACCUAUGGGCUACCUACACAAUUAGCUUACGUAGCCCUCUCACUAACCAAUCACUCUGCCCCGUGAUUUUAACUGUGGGUCCGUUCUCCUGGUUUCCAGCCAAUCAAAUAAUGCGGCCGACAGUUUCUCCAUGGCCGAGAGGAGCUGCGGGCCGAGCAUGGGGUCGCCUGAGUUGAGAAACGCCGACCAUGGUGACGUGUGUGACGGGAAUGAGACGGAGCAGAGGGACCCGAUUGCUUUUUUUACAAAAUUUAUAGGGACCAUUUUACUUUUUUUCUAUGGACCGACACAUGGGCCCACAUGUUACAAUAGUCAACUAAUGGUCUAAUGUAACAGUGACCUCACAAGUGGAACCCCUCUGUCACAAACACAACUAAAACUUAACACUUCAACAACUAGGUUUUUUGGAACAACAAAACAAUUUUAUGGUAGACUAUUGGAAAAUAAUAAAGCGAUAAUGUUUUAUAAUCAAAGCUUGUAAUGUGCUAGUUUUUUGCUAUAUACGGGCGCUGAGCUAAUAGUUUGACUCUCUCAAAGACGGAUUCUCUCUCUGAAAAAAGUAUGCGUUGGAUCUAUUGUAGAAUGAAUGUAAAGAGACAAAUAAAGAGUCUAAAUGACCCACUAGUUUCAUUGCAAUGUGGGAGACCCACUUAUAUACAAGAUGAAGGGAUGUGUUGAGGAGACACCUUUUCACCAACAGACACCUCCUGGAAAGCAUCCCUUCCAUACAAUUGAUCACAUGUUUUAUUUCUCAACACUCCCCCUUGAUCAAUUCAUCAUCUGUAUAUUGAAAACUCCUCCAAAAACCCUGUGGGAAAAAUUGAGGAGAAACCUUAUAAUAAUAUGCCAUCGAAAACUCCUUUAAAACCCACUGGGAAAAAUAUAAGGAGAAACCAAUAUGGCAUACAACCGCACUUGUAUUUAUAUUGUGUUGUUAAAAACCUUAUAUGAGAAACCAUCUUGAAAAACUCAUAAAGGGAAAAAGAGUACAAUAUGAAUGAUCUGAAGAUCACCAACAGGUUAUAACAUGGGAUUUCACUCCCCCUGAAUUUCGCAAACAUCAAUGUUGUCUCAUACCAAUUCCACGAAUGCGAUUCUGUAAUAUAAAUGUUGGUAGAGACAUUGUGAACCUCACAAUAAUUUGUUUGCAGAUUAUCCUCUUACAUUUCUGUAAUCCACGAGGAUAAAUAUAACCCAUAAGCAAUACAAGUGAUAUUAUCUUGGUAGAUAAUGAUCUUUGAUUCCAAUGAAUCUCCACAUGAUCUCACAUGUGACCAGUCAUUCUGCGAAGACAUGUAUAUCUUGUCAUGCUUCAAACAUAGUUAUGGCAGAAUGAUUAUAGGAAGGACUCAUUUAGAGUCUAUUCUGAAGGCUUCACUCAGAAUACUCUUCCAUUAAAUCCAGCCUUUGAUAUGGCAUUGUUGUGAUGAGAUUAUCAGCUACUAUCAGGAUAUCACACCAUGGUCCCAUCUUGAUUAUCUCAAUGGAAUUAAUCAAGAAUGUUUGUGUCUUGGACAUAUCCGAAGAUAUUUCUUACACCAACCAUUAUAUCUUUUAUUGGGGAUUGCACUCUCAAUAAAUUGCCAAAAAAAUAGUGUCAGACCUGACUUACUUUGCAAUAUACAUGAGUGCUCCGAUGGUACUCAGAUGUGGAACUUCAUGUCCAUUAUCACUUCACCAUCUCCCAUGGACAUGUGUCCCGUGUCAGGUAUAAUAUGACCAUAUGUGUCUUUGAUAAGAUGUAUCCAUAUUGAAUGUUUUCAAUAUUUCCAGAUACAUAAAGACUGACAUACAUAUAUUCCCGAGGGAUUUUGCUAAAGCUAUAUACUUAGCAUCAUUUGGUUUGACCCAAAUAUCCGUCUCAAAAUGAUUGUGUGUAUUUAAUAUGUCUUGUAUAGACAUUGAUGGUAAGAUCAUCCACAUCAAUAAUAAGAUGUAAAUCCAAUUCAUGAUAUCUUCAUGAAUACACAUCAACAAUCAUCAGAAUUAGAGUAAUCCUUGUUAAGGAGUAACUCACUUAGUCGGUUGUACCACACGACUCUCCGACCAAAUUCAGAGUCAAAGAAUGACUUCUGAAGCUUCACACACAUGUUGCGAUUUAUCAUUGGAUUCGGAAUAUUAAGCCAUUUAAACGACUUCAAUAUAUAUAUCCGAACUGAAUUAUCCAUGUGAGUAUGUAGCCAUUACAUACAUCAACGGUGUUGGGAUAUGGAUGACGCACAUCCAUCAAGUGUCAUUCAACGCGAGGUUGAAUCACAUUUACUGACCGAGGAGACCGUUUCCUCUAUUUCCACGGAAACAUAUGAGAACUUAAUCCCAUGUGACCAAAAUUCUCCCCCUCUUGCUCUCAUUUGGGGAUACGAAUGGUUAUUAGGUACCUCCACUCGUUCUGGUACGAAAAUUCAGUGACACCUUUGUCAUCAGUAAAUGUAUAUGGCAGUUUAUUUGCAAUAUGUUGCAAAUUCUCAUAAUCUAAAUCUUUAGUUCAAAUUCUGAAGUACGUGGACAAAAUGUCUAUGUCAUUUCUUUUGCAUUUCUUGGCAUUCUAUGUGGUACAUUUCUCCCCCUAAUGCUAGAAAAUGUCCUUAUUACAAAAGCAAUCAGCGUACAAGCUGCAAAUAACUCCCUUGCCAGGUAGAUGCAAAUAACUCCAAACCUCUAAAAACAAAAGCUGAGUCUAAAAACAAAAGACAUGGGUGCAGGCAGGUAGAUGCAUUUAGGAAUAAAUGAGAAGUUAGUGUGUGAGCAAAGUUUGUUAAGGGUCACCACAGGGGAGGAAAAAACAAGCUGUGACGCUUGGCACAACCUCGUGUGAGUGCACUUGCAACAAGCCCAAGCUUCUGGGAUAUCCUUGCAGUCAGGUAUUGUGGGCAGCUGCAGAUCAAAAAAUUAAUGUCGAGCCAUACGUAUCACCAUACUUCAACAUGCACAAUUUGUACAACACUUGGAACGGUGAGUUUUGGGCAUGGGACAUUGAUAUGAACUACAAGCAAUUAUGGCCAGAAGGGACCACAUGGGUUCGAGAUCCCGCAUUGAUGCGAACCAGCAAGGGACGGCGUCAGUCUAGGCGUCAUCGCAAUGACAUGGACCACAACAAGUUGGGAGAACCAAGGCGAUGCCGCGUAUGUAGGUGUGCUGGUCACUCGCGUAGGGAGUGUCCGUAUCGUAACAACAACACUGCGUGAUAUGUAAUCAUGCUAUGUAUUUUAAUUUCAUCGUGAUGUAAUAUUCAGAAUAUUUAAUUUAAUUUCAUCGUGAUGUAAUAUUCAGAAUAUUUAAUUUCAUUUCAUCGUGAUGUAAUAUUCGGAAUAUUUAAUUUAAUUUCAUCGUGAUGUAAUAUUCGGAAUUUUUAAUUUAAUUUCAUCAUGAUGUAAUAUUUUGAAUUUUUAAUUUCAUUUCAUCGUGAUUGCAGGUUAUGGCUGAAAUGCUCCAGCUUUUGAAUGGUUAUCACGACAACCACCACCGUUGUCAGCUUUUCUUAAAUCCAAAUCAUGAAAAUCCUCCUCAGACCUUCCAGCUUCGAACCAUAAAGACGCCCUGGUCAAUACAUAAUCGUUUUCUUGAACACCUUGAGGCUUAUGGACUCCUUCAUUUUGCGCACCUCGCAGCUCGUCGAGGUAGUUUUUACUGCCGACCCAUCCCUUUUGACAUCCCUUGUUGAUAGAUGGAGACCGGAGACCCAUACAUUUCACUUUCGAUGUGGAGAGCUUGAACCUACUCUAAAAGAUGUGUCAAUGAUCACAACUUUACCAAUUAGAGGUGUGCCAGUGGUACAUCCACGAGUUUAUCCUAAUUGGCCAGGAGAUGUCUCUGGCCGUCUGAGGCUCGAAAUGCCCAUAUGAGAUCGAUCUGGUCCGCCUCGAGGUGUCUCACUUAGCUGGCUUCGUACUAACUUCGAAAUUUUAUCUACCUAUGCUGAUCCUGAGACAACGAAGAGACACUUGUUUGCAUAUUUGUUGUGGCUUUUUGGUGUGACGUUUCCUAAUUCUCACGGGGAGGUAGUUUUGCCUGGUCUCAUCUAUUUUGCCGCAAAGAUAGUAGACGAACCUUUACCCCAAAAUCCACCAUAUAGCUUUGGUUCUGCUAUGCUUUCUCACACAUACCGAGGGUUGUGUGAUGCCACUCAAAAAACUUCAUUCACAUCUAAAGCUCCAUUACUUUGUGUCUCCUACGAGUUUCUACAGUUGUGGUCCUCGGAAUACUUACCUGUAGGACGACCGCAGAUAGUAGAACCCGCAACCCCAUACAAGUAUGGUGAGGGCGUUGUAACUAUGUCCAGCCGGUGGAUGCUGGGUCGAAAAAAAUGGUCUACUAAAAUUGCAAAAAAUUGUUACCCCAUAUACCAUGAUCAGUUUGAGCUUCUUAACGACUCACUAAUAACAUGGAACCCGUGGACUGAGGCACACAUUGAUAUGGUAUUUGGUUCACAACGCAUCCCAGUGGAAUGCGUGAUAGUGCCUUCUGGAUGACUCGCUGCAAUUUACUCUAUCUAUGGUUUGUGGAACCGUACAAUCCUAACGGUGUCAUGAGACAGUUCGGUCUAUAUCAAGAUAUUCCACCACCGGUUCCAAGAUGUAUCGACGAAGAAACUCAUAAGUAAGUAAGAUGUGACCUAGCUAAAUAGAUAUUCAAUCACCGGUUCUUGAAUUUUUGUUUUGUUAUCUAAAUUUCAGGAUGAGCAAUAUGGACAGAUCUGGUGUCGACUGGAAUGUAGAAAACAUUUAAUGGAUAAAUCAGUGGAAUAAUGAAGCUCUACAAAAUAUAGUGCCUCAGCAACGGUAAUUUUACUCAUGUUAAUUUAAUUAUGUACUUAUAAAAUACAUAAUGUGAUGUAAUUAUUUAUUUAUGCACAACGUACGAUGCAACUACGACAGAAGCGUACCAUAAUUAGUAUCGCAUGAUCACGCGUACUAGACCGACGAGUGAACCACCUACGAUGCCAACACAUCCAAUGCAUAUGGAACAGUUGCAGAGACGGAUAGACACAUCAUCAGCUUACUAUCGUGACUCUGCGGUAAUCAUCAACAUCUUGCUAUUCAGGUCCAUCAUUUCAUGAACAAUUCAACCAACCAACAACGAUUUUUUUUCAGAUUGAUAUUUGCACCCAAGUAGAAGCGAUGGCGAGGGAAGGAAUGCGAGCCCAGUGAAUUGAUCCUAAAGGCAGGUCCUUCUUUAAAAUAAUUAGCGAAUUCGUCAGCACAAGGUUUACGAGAUGCGGUACAGAGAACGACGUUGUCACUGGAGCGUACAACAUUCCGGAACCGAGGUCAGUUAGACCGAGUGCGGCGCCGUCGUCGUCCAUGCGGUGGGGAGAGGGUCCUAAUACUACGCCGACACUUCCACGACAUGACUCGUCUCUACAAAUACAUGGGCAGAGAUCAGAGGUAAAUGCACCAGAUUUAGGUUCGACGCCCGAACAGACUCAUUUCGUGGAGCAGGAUGCAUAUACAGCAUAUGGCGCACACACUCAAGGAUCUCAGCCAUAUCUGCCCACGCGAGGGAUUAGGAUGCCCGAGGAGAAUCGUUGGGCUGACACAAGCGAGGGAGCACAAAGCUACAACAACGGUCAGGUAUGUACAAUUAUAAUAAGCAAUUACAUAACUUCUAUUUACACAUAAUUUUUUUACACACAAUUUUUCGACGCAGAAAAUUAAUGAUCCAUCAUGGGGAGAUGAACAUACCCAGCAUGGCGUACAGAAAGAAAUACUCACAGAAACCCAUGAUACUCAAUGCACGCUCCCAGGAAUGCUAAAUGAUUUUUUCGGAGAGGACGUUAUUGGUCCAUCUUAUAUCAAUUCUGAGUCACAGCCAUUCACCUAUAAUUUAGAAUCAUCAGACUCCACCACCUAUGCAUGAGUCACAGACACAGGAACACGAGGGACAGUACGGCCGUGGUCUUCGUGAACACAGACCCCCUGAACGCUUGUCACCCUCCGGUCGUCGGGCAAGGCCAGCUGGUCGUCGUCGCAUAGGGUGAUUCGUCUAUCUAUGUGUGCGAACUAUUGUAUCUCUCUAUGUCAGUUUCAAACUUUCAGAUGUACGUACAAGACAUCUAUGUAGUUUGAUGAAAUAAAAGUUCUCGAUAUAUUUCGACGCAGUUUUCCAAUUUAAAGUUGCUUCCAUAAAAUAAGAUACAUAAAAUAACAUACAGAAAAUACGAUACAUUAAGAUGUAGAGUUCAUAAAAAAAAACUACAUAAAGUCAUCGUCAUCCUUCGACGAUGCAGAGCUCUCGCCCUUUGACGAAGCGCUACUCUUGGCCUUCGUCGAUGAUGCGCUCUUGUCAUUCGUCGAUCAUGCGCUCUUGGCCUUGGUACUCGGCAUGAAGAUAUCGUCUUCGUCCUCACUAUCGUCAAUCUAUAAAAAGGGAUGUUUUACUCCACCUCCACCGCGUAUGUGUUGGCCUUUCUUCUUCCAUCUUUCAUUCAACCGCAUAAGUUCUUUCCGAAUCUCCUCAUAUGUCCUUGCAGGCCACCCCUUCCUAGCUAAUGCGUGGGCAACCUCAUUCAGUAGCGUGUCACUACUGAUGAGUUCGUCCCAUGAAACUAUUCUGUUAUCUAUCUUGAAAUUGCUAGCUAAGCGCAGAAGACACUCGGACAUACCACUGUAAAAACUACGAUCGAAAGGAUAAUGAGACAUUUUCGGGACACUCCUUACCCACCUUGGUCUGGAGGGGGUUUUAUAGGUGCAGCAGAGCGAGACGAAUAACUAUACGCGGGAAAACGAGGAGGGAAAGCGAGGCGGGAACAAAAUGGCGGCAAAGCUAUACGCGGGAAAAAAUGGCAGGAAAGUGAGGUGGGAAAUAAAUGGCGGGAUAAAAUGAACAUACACGUAGCCGAAAUUAAGAUACCCAUUGCGGAAAUGAAGACACAACUUGCCGAAAUUAAGAUAGACAUUGCUGAAAAUAAGAUACAAUUUGCCGAAAUUAAGAUACAACUUGCAUAAAUUAAGAUACAACUAACACAAAUUAACAUACAAUAAAAUAAAUCUACUGAGUCCAACGUGGAUAUUUUCCUUUUCCAUCACCAGCUUCUUUUGCUGCCUUGGCGGCACGAGCCCUUUCUCUCUUUCUCUCCUUCUCAGCUUCACGGGCUUGUUCCCGCUGUCUGUAAACCUCCUCCAGCCAAAGUUUCUCUUCUUGAUUUUUCCUUAUCAUCUCAUCAAUAAAAGCCCUCUGCUCCACACAGUAAUCUUCCCACUCUUUCUUCUGCUCUGCUUUCUCCUCUGCUUCAGCCUUCUCGCGACGCUCUUCCAAGUCCAAGCUAGCCCAUGCACGGCGACCUCUUUCACGAAUCUCGGUCACCGCCCAGUCCGGCAUUUCCGUGUCAAUCCAACGAUAGUACAUGCAGAGAGGAGGAGGAGAGUAAAGGAUGGAUCAGAUUCAAGUAAACAAUAAUAUCAAGUAAACAAUAAUCUGGAUGACUUGAGCAUACCGGAGGCCUGACGUACGCAGAAAUAGAUUCGGAUGGAUCAGAUUCAUAAUUGGCGCACAUGAAAAACUUCAUGCCCAACCAAUCUGAAAAAUCCGUCACCUCCUUCACCUUGCAGACAUCUCCGCACCAACAUCGAACUGCUUCCACCCCCCGAGGCAAGCUUGCACUCUGCAUUUUCCUAGGCCUAAUGCUCUGAUCCGAACAAGGCAAACUCAUACUGACUAUGGAGGUGCAGGUGCUUUGAAGUCUGGCUGAUGGUGAAGAGAGUUUUCACUCUCUGCCUCCUUUUAUAGGCUCUGCCGGAUGUCUACGCAGGAAAAAACGGCGCGAAUACGAGAAACUUCAGCACGAAACUUAGGCGGGAAACUUAGGUGGGAAAAUAACGCGGGAAACUUAGGCGGGAAAAAAUUGCACUGCUCGUCCAUCAUUAUCGCGUGCAUGUGGCGGGAACAAAUACAGCAGGCAGUCUCCGUUCCUAAAUUUGUCUUUUUAGAUAUUUUACUAGAUGACUACAUACAAAGCAAAAUGACAGAAUCUACAUUCUAAAAUGAGUCCAUAUACAUCCAUAUGUAGUCUUCUAGUAAAAAAAUACUCCCUCCGUUCCUAAAUAUAAGACCUUUUAGAGAUUGCACUAUGAACUACAUACGGAUGUACAUAGACAUAUUUUAGAUUAUAGGUUCAUUUAUUUUACUUCAUAUGUAGUCUUCUAAUGAAAUCUCUAAAAGGUAUUAUAUUUUGGAACGGAGGGAGUACAUCCCAAGCAGGGCAUAAUAGCGCAUGCAUGUGGCGGGAAAAUUUGGAGCGGAAUUUUUUCACAGAGCGCGCUAACUCCAGGGCCAACCCAGAUUCCCGGCCGGCCGCCUGGGGCCGAGGUGGCAGGGCCCACCUAUCUGUCGCCGUUACGGUACGGCAGGGCGGGAACGGAAUCUGGGGUCGGCCGCCUGACCUCGUGGCGGCAGCCCUGUCGGCCGCCUGCGCCUGUGGCGGCAGGCCCUAGCCGCCUCGGGCGCUGGCGGCAGGUGCCACGUGCCGCCUUGCGCGCCUGUCACCACGCGUGGAGGGGGUCCUUUUCAUUUUUAGCAUCCGCAUGUGGUCUUUUCUGGCUAUUCCGUUCGCGAGGGGGUCCUUUUGGACAAAAAUUCCACAUUCACAUCUAUGUUGCUUCACAUAUUUGCUACUCCCUCAUUUCCGGUUUAUAGGGCCCAAAUAUGAAAUCUCAUCAAAUAAGAUAGACUAUGAGUGGAUGACGAUGACACAUGUUUUGUGGAUAAAAUUGCCCAAUGAAAAUUUUCUCACUUGAUGAACUCCCGAGGCAAUAAGUGCAACACUCAUUCUCUCAUUGUAUUUGCAUGUUGCAUGUAGAUUAAGAUGCAUGCAUGACCAAUAAUUCUCCCAUUUUCAUUAAAUAUGGUGUGAGACUCAAAGGUCUUUAACACAAUUGAACUCAAAGUGAGCUUUAUAUAAUGGAAAUCUGAAAAAAAUUUAGAUGAACCCUCUAAACAGGAAAGGAGGGAAUGCCCAGUUUAUCUCUUUAAUAUUGCCAUGUGUGUUUUUGAUUUUUUUUUAUCAUAUAGCUUCAUAGGAUUAGCCCGCCCUCCCCCAAAAAAACUUUAUAUGGAAAUAGACCAUGCUCAGUUAUGAAUUAAGACAUUGCAGGAAAUAUAUCCCACAUAUGUACGGAUGAUAUAUAAUAUAAUUAGGUCACAUGGAUUACAUAAUAUUAUUUUUGAGGAAUUUUUCAUUUACAUCUUAGAAACUUGCAUAUAAAUUUCUUCCCCCAUUCUAGCUACUACAUAUAACAUAGAAUCCCAUCACUGGUAUACUUCGUGCAUAUUGAGUAGCUAUUUCUACAUUGCCAUCAAAAAGAUAGAUCAUGGUUAUGGCACUUCACACUUCAAUUUUUUUUUGUUUGGGAUGAAAAGUUACGUUUUUUGGGUAAAUGAUCUUAUAUACUUGCUGAAACCGGAACUGUUUUGCAUCAAUAAGAGCUACAUUACUAUGUGCUUGACAGGUAGAACACCUCUGUUUUUUGCGAUACGUAAGGGUGCGGGCAUUGUCAAAUAUCUUCUCGAACAUGGUGCUGAUCCAAACAAAGUCAACAGCGAUGGAAUCUCCCUUUUACAUGAAGCUACUAUGUCAGGUCUACCUCUAAAAACAAAAGCUGAGUUGAGAAACCAAAUUCGUCAUCUGUAUAUUGAAAACUCCUCCAAAAACCCUGUGGGAAAAAUUGAGGAGAAACCUUAUAAUAAUAUGCCAUCGAAAACUCCUUUAAAACGCAGUGGGAAAAAUAUAAGGAGAAACCAAUAUGGCAUACAACCCCACUUGUAUUUAUAUUGUCUCGUUAAAAACCUUAUAUGAGAAACCAUCUUGAAAAGCUCAUAAAGGGAAAAAGAGUACAAUAUGAAUGAUCUGAAGAUCACCAACAGGUUAUAACAUGGGAUUUUACUCCCCCUGAAUUUCGCAAACAUCAAUGUUGUCUCAUACCAAUUCCAAGAAUGCGAUUCUGGAAUAUAAAUGUUGGUAGAGACAUUGUGAACCUCACAAUAAUUUGUUUGCAGAUUAUCCUCUUACAUUUCUGUAAUCCACGAGGAUAAAUAUAACCCAUAAGCAAUACAAGUGAUAUUAUCUUGGUAGAUAAUGAUCUUUGAUUCCAAUGAAUCUCCACAUGAUCUCACAUGUGACCAGUCAUUCUACGAAGACAUGUAUAUCUUGUCAUGCUUCAAACAUAGUUAUGGCAAAAUGAUUAUAGGAAGGACUCAUUUAGUGUCUAUUCUGAAGGCUUCACUCAGAAUACUCUUCCAUUAAAUCCAGUCUUUGAUAUGGCAUUGUUGUGAUUAGAUUAUCAGCCACUAUCAGGAUAUCACACCGUGGUCCCAUCUUGAUUAUCUCAAUGUAAUUAAUCAAGAAUGUUUGUGUCUUGGACAUAUCCGAAGAUAUUUCUUACACCAACCAUUAUACCUUUUAUUGGGGAUUGCACUCUCAAUAAAUUGCCAAAAAAAUAGUGUCAGACCUGACUUACUUUGCAAUAUACAUGAGUGCUCCGAUGGUACUCAGAUGUGGAACUUCAUGUCCAUUAUCACUUUACCAUCUCCCAUGGACAUGUGUCCCGUGUCAGGUAUAAUAUGACCAUAUGUGUCUUUGAUAAGAUGUAUCCAUAUUGAAUGUUUUCAAUAUUUCCAGAUAUAUAAAGACUGACAUACAUUUAUUCCCGAGGGAUUUUGCUAAAGCUAUAAACUUAGCAUCAUUUGGUUUGACCCAAAUAUCCGUCUCAAAAUGAUUGUGUGUAUUCAAUAUGUCUUGUAUAGACAUUGAUGGUAAGAUCAUCCACAUCAAUAAUAAGAUGUAAAUCCAAUUCAUGAUAUAUUCAUGAAUACACAUCAACAAUCAUCAGAAUUAGAGUAAUCCUUGUUAAGGAGUAACUCACUUAGUCGGUCGUACCACACGACUCUCCGACCAAAUUCAGAGUCAAAGAAUGACUUCUGAAGCUUCAUACACAUGUUGCGAUUUAUCAUUGGAUUCAGAAUAUUAAGCCAUUUAAACGACUUCAAUAUAUAUAUCUGAACUGAAUUAUCCAUGUGAGUAUGUAGCCAUUACAUACAUCAACGGUAUGGAUUUGUAAUGCCAAUUCAGUAUCGAAACAUAAUUCCACUCGUACCUAGAAGGUAUGCUACAUCAUAACUGAUGUCGGGUCUUUGCGGAAACCCAUGUGCUACAAGUCUCGCUUUCUCACCACCUCAUCUAUUUCGUUUCUGAACGAAAAAUCACUUCUCUUCACUACGGAAGAUACUUAUGAGGAGCAGGUUUUACUAUGGUAAACACCUCUCUUUUGACGAGCGAGUGCUACUCUUCUUAAUUACUUCCUUUCAUUUGAACCAAUAUAAGUGUCAACAACAACUUUCCAUGGAUUUUGGUUCAGGGCCCAAAAGGAUUUCUGCAAUUCUCAAGAAGAAAUUUAUGUCGACAUAUGUAGACUUCAAUAUACGAUUCUCAUGAAUCAAUAUCAUUAGUGGAAUUCUCAUUAUGCCUCUUAACUCCUUGUGAUUUCCCACAACAACGGAGUCAAGAUGUUUCGAUGUCCCAACACCAUAAAAAAUGUGUGCACAUCGGUGUUGGGAUAUGGAUGACGCACAUCCAUCAGGUGUCAUUCAACGCGAGGUUGAAUCACAUUUACUGAUCGAGGAGACCGUUUCCUCUAUUUCCGCGGAAACAUAUGAGAACUUAAUCCCAUGUGACCAGAAUUCUCCCCCUCUUGCUCUCAUUUGGGGAUACAAAUGGUUAUUAGGUACCUCCACUCGUUCUGGUACGAAAAUUCAAUGACACCUUUGUCAUCAGUAAAUGUAUAUGGCAGUUUAUUUGCAAUAUGUUGCAAAUUCUCAUAAUCUAAAUCUUUAGUUCAAAUUCUGAAGUACGUGGACAAAAUGUCUAUGACAUUUCUUUUGCAUUUCUUGACAUUCUAUGUGGUACAUUUCUCCCCCUAAUGCCAGAAAAUGUCCUUAUUACAAAAGCAAUCAGCGUACGAGCUGCAAUUAACUCCCUUGCCAGGGUUAAGGAAUUUGACGAAUUAACAAUCAUACCAUAGUUAUUCCUCACAUAGAUCCCAAAUAUAUGUGAAGGCCGUAAUGUACGCUCGGGUGGUGAUAUCGGUGUCCAACCGAAUUAUCGCAGAUGGGAAAUACAUCAAUGAUUUCCACGUACAGACCAUAAGGGGAUACGGUAUUAAAUGCAUUUGAUCUCAUAUAGACCAAAUAUGCGGCGUGUGAGACCCAUGUUACCAACAACAAAAUGUUGGAUCAUCACAAUUCUGUAGCAAUGGCCAUGCAACUUGACUCUCUUUGACAAGAGAUCUAGCCACACCAUUCUGAGUAGGUACACGAUGCACUCAAUAUGACCAUGGAUUUCUCGUGAAUCAAAUUCAACGACAUUUCCAUUCCAAUGGAAUUAUCCCAUGCAUAUAAUCAUUUGCUCCAAAUUCGUCAAUUUGAGCACUUAAUUCAGUAAACACAUGGUUUUGUGUGGAUGAUACACACCUAAGACCAUCUUGUAGAUGUGUCUAUGAAUACCAUGAAGUACCAAAAUAACCCAGCCAAUGGUUGAAUAUUUUGCAUCAUUCUUGAAUCCGUUCAAGAAUAAUGAGUGGCCCAUUCAAAUUUUAAGGUGAGAGUACCUUAAAACUAAUUCCACUAUGGCACAUGCAGUGCACAUAAAAUCUUACGAUUGUCGGGAAUAUUGCAACUUUGUUGUGGCCAAUUGAAUUAUCAAUAAUUUUUCUAAUCGUCCUCAUACCAAACUGAUAAAGGAGGAAAAAUCAUUGUGUACGCAACAAUAUUGAGUAUGAACUGAUUCAUACACUCAAUUUGUCACAACUAUUAUGUCCCGUGGACAAGAUGUUGCAAAUUAUACCACCUGUAGUAGUACAAUUAUAUGCUAAUGAUAUAUUGGGAUAACUAGGAGACUACAUAAGAUCUGCAAAAUAUCUUGGGAAUGUCAUUCACAAGCAUAUCAUCAAUGUAGAAGAGUGUAUUCUCCUUCUACUACACCAGAAUAUUUUCUGGUUGUGCAUUUGAAGUAGAACUUUAAACUUAUCCCAUUAAACUCAUUCGCCUUCUCCAGUGAGUCGGUGACAUGAUUCAACCAAAAACAUAAAAGUUUUGUAAUCAUUAGUACGAUAUUUCAUACAACCACCUCUUUGACAAACUUGGGAGUUGUCAUUGUGAUCAUUUAUUUAGAUGACACAUUCCUUUGUGAGAUAUACACUCCAUUUCUGCCUGUCUCUUUUUUUUCCACUUUACUUUCAACUCCUCGUGGUUCUCUAACCACAUAUUGCUUAGUACUGAAAGCACUAGCACAAAUUUCAGGUAAUGAUAUAGCACCCAUUGGGGUGUACCAGAUGAUUCUUCACAAGAAGGUCAUCAUAUGUUUACCGUGAAAUGAAGAUGGUAUUUAUUUUACCAUCAUAGGAGAAUGUAAAGUGCAGUAAGGACACACAAUCAGAUCAAGAUGUGAGACUUCCUUAUCACAUAUCCUCAACUUAGUGUUGAUUUAUAGACAACAGAAUUAUAAGCAUCAAUGGACUUGAAGUCCUUAAUACAAAUGAAUACUCAUUCGAGUGAUGCUUAUGGGAACAUAUCUCUCCUUAAGGUGGUACCAAAAGGACAAAUGGAUAUUCAUCAUUCAUUAAAUAGUUGGUUUGAGAACCAAGACAUUGCGAUGUCACAUAAAUGCAAAUUUGCACAUUUCAGGCAUUUAUAAGAUAGCCAUGACAUUCUCUGCAAGUGGAAUUUCUAUGGUGACAAGGCCACGGGUCGACAAAAUCAUUAAUGUCAAUGACCCAUUUUCAAUAGUUACUUCCACCUUAUGUCAUCACAUCGCAUUUCCUUUCGAAAAAGGUCCGCCAUAUAUUGCAUGAAAUGCUCAUGCAUUAAUUUACCUUCAGUAAAUUAAGUAUAAUGAAAAUGCUAUGGCUAAGCAUAAUCACUAUCAUGGUGAUUCUUAGUGACUCAUAGGGUAAUUAAGCCCUUCCACAUGAAGAUAAUCACCAUUUUGUGGUGUAGAUCUUCAAAUUAAAUGUAGUCAUCUCAUAAAGGACAAACCUUUAAUUUCCAUAAAACACAUAGAGGUAAUCAACCACCUAGUAGUGCCUCACUCUUAUGGAUAGUUGCAAUCAAUCAUAGCCUUCACAACCUUAUGUUAUUUAAAACACAUGAAGGUAAUUCCCACGAAGUGGCAUAAACGUCUCACUUGUGCACGAAAUUUAAUUCGUUGCUAAGAUCACAUCUCAUAAGUUGUGUACUCAUGGAAGGUAAUCACCAAAAUAUGCAAGUAUUUUGCAUAAUUAUCUUCAUAGCAUAAUAUGUAGCAUAGUCGCCACUAAUGUCUUGGAUUCCUCUUCUGAUGGAGCAUGUGACAUUGUAGUCACAACCAAUGACAAAUGCUAUAAAAUUGAUAAGUAUUUGGAAAACAUCAUGAAGGUAGGCACCAACGGUGUAGGCCUCAUAAUGAUUAUGUCAUAAGUUUUGUGCCUUCACUUUGCUUUGAACACAUGGAGAUAAUCACUACUGAGUAGUGUAGACCUCAUUUUUAUGAAGCUUCUCACAACCUUAUGUUUUAAAACACAUUGAAGGUAAUCACCUCAUGGUGGUGUAGACCUCACAGUUGUGAACGAAAUAUAAUUCGUUGCCACAAACGCAAUCCGUAAGUUGUAUGCAAAAUUGAAGGUAGUCAUUAUGUCGAAAUGAUGUAAUAUAGACCUCAUAAUAACAUUAAAUAAUCUGCAUUUAAGCAGCAUGUCUCAUUUGUCAAUUCCUUGUGACAAAUGUAAAUUUGACAUAGUUAGGCAGUGUCGUAAACUUCACUACCUCAUGUUUCCAAAUUUACAAGAAAAAUCUAUAUUCUAUGUGAAUAAUGGAAUCAACAUAUUGCUUUGCAAUAGUAUUACUCAUGUAAUACAAAUAAAUGCAAAAUUAUUAACAUACUUGUGCAACAUAUAUGAGGACUUGGGGCCUCAAACAGUCAUUUUACACGAUGUAAAAUGAUGCAUAAUCAACUAUUAUGCAAUUCAGCAAGAUCUUGUAGUCUAUCAUGUAUAUUUGCUCUGAAUGCUUGGGGCAUAAAACGCAAAUACCAAUAACCAUAUAGUUAAAAUGCUGAAAACAGUAAGCGUGAGAGCUAAACUGCUAAGUCCAACGAGCAUGGUGACUCGUUUGCAACUUUCAGUAAGACUCAGGGCUAUACCUCACUGUCUUAUAAGCCUAAGGUUUGAAACAAAAAAAUGCAGAGACUUAUAAAGGAUUAAAGAUUAAUCGAAGGGCUAGAUUGUAAAAUAGUCAAGGAGAUAUGAUUCUCCUUUUGCGCCUUGCGAUUGGCAAUUCCAUGAGAGAAAAAUAACCACUGCCCCCGUCAAUAUGGUUCAGCCGCGUCGGAGCGCUUCAUGGCACAACGAACUGGCCUCCACAGGGUCGAGAUAGGAUUGUGUGCACAUCGGGCAUCGUCUCCGCGCCGGGAUUAGGGAUCGCCGACUAAUGCGACACCUAGCGUGAAGACAUCACCGCGUUGGUGUUGCUACACGGUGAGUCGGCUGCCCUGAAGGGCGUCAUCGUCUGCCGCAACACCGCUCCUCGGUCGUAGUCGGAUGGGCUUACCAGAGUGCCAUUGUGGACCGCGUCGAGUGUCGCUGAGGAAGAACUACGUUGUGGUUGUUCAUGCGUCCUCAACGAUGUCAUUGCCGAUUUCAUGUCGCCAAGUGUCGGAGCGACUAGUGGCUGUACAAGAGAAUUGAAUUGGCAUAUUACUAUUAUUUUUAGUUAAAAUGAGAAAGAACGACCGAGGCAUGCAUUGAUCCAUCAAGAUCGAGUCCUCCGAUUGCAUGACUACUGCUUAGCGCCGCUGGCAACAUCGCGUCUCGCGCCAGCAUGCCGGGAUGGGCGCAGCCUCGCGCAUGCCUGCCAUCGCCUAUGCAACGCGGAGAGCCGCGAUUCAUCUUGUGCGUCUCCAUCGUCGUUUAAGAGGGCUAUGCUUUGUGUAACCGCCAUCUCGUGUGUCUCCAAUAUCGUUGAUGUUAAUCUUAGAAAAGAAAAUCAAGUUAGCCUUGUCCUUAUCGAUUUCUUCAACGGAUGCAUGCAUGCCUAUGCAUGCUCCUCUUGACCGUAUGUAACUUGAUGCGCCACCGCGUUCUGUCGCGGUGCCAUUUUCUCACUGCCUCCGGCUCGCCGUCGCACACUCUGUGCGUAACUGUCAUCUCGGCCUUUUUCUUUCUUGUAAAGACUAUGUGCCGAUAACGUAUUUUAGAAUGAAUGUAAAGAGACAAAUAAAGAGUCUAAAUGAUCCACUAGUUUUAUUGCAAUGUGGGAGACCCACUUAUAUACAAGACGAGGAGAUGUGUUGAGGAGACACCUUUUCCCCAACAGACACCUCCUGAAAGGCAUCAUUCCAUACAAUUGAUCACAUGCAUGUUUUAUUUCUCAACAGGAUCAAUGCAUGUGCUUUCUGUUUGCUCAUCGGUAGACCGUACUACACUUGCGCGACGUGAUGUUGACUUGUUUCACAGCAAAAGGCAGUUCAAAGAUAUUUUCUGCCGCUUUGUACCGACCAAAAUGAUGUCUCACAUUUUUUUUCUUUGCCGUAAACCAGUCCUCCCUCUCCUUUCUUUGUCGUGUACACCUUCACUUUGUUACAUAUAUUGAUUUCAUAUAUUUCUUCCAUGAGGUUCCGUUCAUUAUCGUUUCUGACGUGAUUUAACAUCCGCUUAACUAAAAUUUGAAAAUUAUGAUGUUCGAUAUGUUUAACAUAAAAUGCUACUCCCUGUAUGACCUGCACAUUGAACAGAGUAAAUGUGUAAAUAAUUUUGGAAGGUUUUGGAGUGUCUUGUGUAAAUGAUGUUUAAGCAGACAUAGAUGAUCCAAAACCCCAUAUGCCUUGUACAGAGUGAUCAUGCACGAGUCACCAUGCUACUUCAUCUUUGGUGUGAUCGAUCAACUCAUGCAUGCAUGGAGCGUCUGCCUCAACUGCCUCGACAGAAAUACUACGAGACGGGGUUGCUGGUGGCCGGAUUCUCAUUUCUCGCUUGUCAGUCGAAGUGUGUUUUGAAUGCAUGUGGUUUCUGUUUACUCGUCGGUACAAAGGUUUAUUCAUAUACUAUAUCACUAAGAUUUCUAGUAUUAGAGACUUCUCAUUUAAUUAAAGUCAUCGAUUUAGGGGGUGUUUCUUUAGAGGGACUUUUUUCCAUGUGAAAGAAACAGGAGGGACUUUUAGAAACUAAAACGGGGUAUUCAGGACUAAAGGAAGAAGUCUCUAUGGGAGGGUCUUUUACUCUUUUUGAGACUUUUUUGAGACUUUUUCCAACAGUGCCCCUACUUUUAGCAUGCCAUUUAAUGACUUCUAGUACAUUACUAGGGGUAACAUGAUCUUUUUGCAUGUCAUUUAAUGACCUCUAGUCCCUGUUUAGUCCCUGGAAAAAACGGAUAGGGACUAGAGACUUUUCAGUUGAGACUAAAAAAAAAGUUCAGGGACUUUUCAAAGAAACAGGGCCUUAGAAUUGGAUCAUCAACUUUAACAGGAUUAGCAAUCUUUCGCUCAAUAAUUUUAAUUAACUACGCUCUCUUAUUUCAUUGAGAAAUUAAAUAUUAUAUUUUUUCAUGACUUUAAUUGGGUUAAGAAUUUUUUUAAUCAGCUCGAAGCAACCGGCCUAUAAACAAAUAUCAAUUCUAGACACCCUCUCAUCACCUAAAAAAUAGUGUCAACAUGCGAUACUAUAGCACCAAUAUAGUACAUGCAACAAUACAGACACAUAAUUAUUUUCAACAUGCGGUACAAACACAUAAUUAUUUUCAACAUAAAUAUGAAUUAAUUAACAGAUCUUCAAAUCACACCGCGAAAGCCCACCAGAACACCGCAUUAUAUGAAUAUAAAAAGAAAAGAAACAAUAUCAUCUUCCCCACUAGAUAAACCUAAUACUCACUCCGUUCUAGAAUAUAAGAUGUAUUAGUUUAUUGAAAAGUCAACUUUUCUAACUUUGACCAAGUUCAAAAAUAUGGACAUCCAUAAUACUAAACAAUAAAAUAUAAAAAUUCAUUUCAUGAUGAAUCAAAGAAUUCGAUUUGAUAUUAUGGAUAUUGAUAUAUUUCUAUAAAAAUGUGGUCAAAUUUAAAGAGGUUUGACUUUUUUAAAAACUAAUAUAACUUAUAUUUUAAAAUAGAUUAAGUAUAAAAAUUAUGAAUUCGAUUUUAGAUGGGGGAGGAGCAAAGCCCUAAGUCCGUGAUGGGGGGGUGCAACGAGGACCCUAGCAAGGCCAAGCCAGAAGGUGGGGGAGCCUUUUUUUCUUUGACCCUCGAAUGGAUUAGACGGAGCCUGAGCCAAAAAUGGAGACGCCGCCGUAAUGCUUAGAUAGGAGCUUGCUUGAGGCGAGGUAGGGUGGAGGCAUGAUGCCAUUAUUUCUUGCGGGUGUGUUGUAAGUUGUAACUGUUUUUACCAACUAUUUCACAAAUUUACCAAACUUCUCUCUUCUAUUUUGUUUAAUGAAUCGACUGUCCGAUUUAAGAAAGAAGAUAUGUAAAUAAUAAGCCGACUAUGCAUGUCAUCGUAGCUUAUUAGCUAGCGUAUAUGGCGUUAUUAGCUAGUGUGUCCCUCUGUUUUUAAUGUUAAUCGUUUUGUUGCUUGUAUCCCUCUCUGUUAUUUUUUUACUCUUUCCUUUACGUCCUUCCUUUUUCUUAUAUUUAUUCUUGUGCAGUGAUACUCUAUUUAAUCUGUUAAUAAAGCACAAUAAAGAUCCUCCACUUGAUGGAAAUUGAGCUGAAAUAAAUUGAAACACAAUGAAUUUUUUUCUUUCUCGGACAGAAUCCAAGAUACACAGAGAUGCACAGAGAAAUUGAAGAGAGACUCUAGCACCCCCUGCACAAUACCACAUCACUACAGCCUAAAUAAUAGGCCACCGGAUACGCUUCUUGCAUUCGGUACUACAACAACAAAAUAAAAGGCGGCUAAUGUAUUCUCCCUGACACGAAAGAAAAGAGGAGCUCCAUCUCCAAUUAGUUUCCACUGGCUGGGCAUGCAAUCACAACUGAGCACUGAGCACUCACGUUCUACUCAACUGAGAAACAAUUAAGAAAAGGUCAGCAGUUUACAUUUCGUUCUUUAAACUGAAAUCUGAAUUCCGUUUCAGAAAAAAAAAACUGAAAUCUGAACGAAUACAUGACAGGGAGGGGCGAAAAGUGCGUUACCUCGGAUAGAGAGGCUUGCGGAUCUCCUACCUUCUCCAGGGCCGAGACAAGGUUUUUCGUGGCGAAAAUGAUGCUGAAGAAGUGAAGAUCGAUCGCAAGCUUAGCCAUAAAUUCACUCAAUCAAGCAGAACCACACAGCUCGGUCGAGUGUGUGCUUUAUAACGAUGAGUUGGAGAGAGAGAGAGAGAGUGGCAUACGGCUCGUAGUCGUCGCCGUCGAGAUUGAAGUGGCUCUCGCCGACCCCGCCCUCGCCAACGAGGUGGGUUGAGAUGGUGACCUUCUCCCCCGAACCGGCUACCGGGUACCGCACCGUCAUGAUCACCUUCUUGCCAACCUUCUUGCCUCCGGACAGGUCAGCGGCCACGAGGCCGGUGAGGAGCAGGAAGAGGAAGACGGAGAGGAGGGUCAGGUGGUAGAGCCGAGCCAUGGCAGACUUGGGCUGAGGAGUGCAAAGAAGAGGGUUAACUGCGUGAACUAACUGUGGCCGGCCAAGCAAACGAGAGAAGCAUAUAUAGGACCGGAUAGGUAAGUGCAUAGCCGCGUGAGCUGCCUGAACUUUUCUUUUUCUUUUUGAGUUCCCACUCAACUGCUAGU